AUAUUUUUGGGUGUUACAAUUCUACCCCCUUAAAAAUAAUCUCGUCCUCGAGAUUGGAACGGUGCUUACUCAAAGAGAUACGGAUAAGACUGUCUCAGCUCAUCUUCUCUUUUCCAAGUGGCUUCUUCUUCUUUUUAUCGGUGCCACUGCACUUUGCACAUCUUUAUAACCGGACUCCAGGUGACUCUUUCCGCUGUUUCUAAGAUCUUGAUCGGAUAUUCCUCAUAAGUCAGAUCCCCUUCGACAGUGAGCUCUUCCAACGGAAUUUGUUCCUCAGGCACUCGCAAACAUUUCUUCAGCUGCGACACAUAGAACACAUCGUGAAUACCCGACAUACUCGCAGGCAACUCUAACUGAUAGGCCACUUCUCCACGUCUCCUAAGAAUUCUAAACGGUCCAGCAUAUCUUGGUGCUAAUUUACCCUUCAUAUUAAAUCUCCUGACACUUCUCAUAGGCGACACCUUCAAGUACACAUAGUCACCAAUCUCAAAUGCCAAAUCUCUUCUUCUAGUAUCAGCAUAACUCUUUUGUCGAGACUGGGCUACUCUCAAGUUGUCCCGUAUUUUCCGUACUUGUUCCUCUGCAUCUCUAAGAACAUCAGGUCCAAAUACUUGACUCUCACCAGUUUGAUUCCAAAACAAAGGUGUUCGACAUUUCCGCCCAAACAAUGCUUCAAACGGUGCCAUAUCGAGACUUUUCUGGUUACUAUUAUUAUAUGAAAAUUCAGCAUAUGGUAAACUAGUGUCCCAACUGGUACCAUACUGUAACGCACAUGCUCUCAACAUGUCUUCUAGAAUCUGAUUUACUCUUUUAGUCUGUUGCCCAUCGGUUUGGGGAUGAUACACGAAACUAAAGUUCAACUUUGUUCCUAACGAUUCAUGUACUUUAUGCUAAAACUGUGAUGUGAACUGUGUACCCCGAUCAGACACGAUCUUCUUCGGAACUCCAUGCAGACUCGCGAUUCUAUCCAUAUAUAAUUUUGCCAACUUUGCACCAUCAUAGUUGGUCUUAACGGGUAAAAAGUGAGCAACUUUAGUGAGUCGAUCCACUAUUACCGAAAUUGAGUCAUACCCACGCUGAGUGCGGGGCAAACCAGUGAUGAAAUCCAUACCUACUUCUUCCCAUUUCCAUUCGGGCACUUGCAUUGGUUGCAACAACCCUGCAGGCCUUUGGUGCUCGGCUUUCACCCUCUGAUAAGUAUCACAUAUGGCCACAUACUCUGCCACAUCUCUCUUUAAUCCAUACCACCAAUAUUUUUCUUUAAGAUCUAGAUACAUCUUGGUGCUUCCGGGGUGAAUUGAAUAUGCAGAGUCAUGUGCUUCACGCAGGAUUGCAUCUCGGAUGGAUUUCACUUCGGGCACACAUAUUCUAUUCCCAAACCAUAGUGUACCAUUCUCAUCCAACCUGAAACCUGGUGCUUUUCCAAGCACUACAUUCUCUGAAAUUUCUUUUAAUUUCUCAUCCUACAACUGACCUUUGCGGAUUUCUUGCUCUAGGGUGGGCUCUAACUCCAAUUCGACAGUGUUGUUCACUAAACCCAAAUUGAGAUGCUCUUUUCAGCUAGCAACUCCGUGGGAAUGAAGGUCAAUUGCAGCCCAUUGGCAUAGCUCUUUCGACUAAGUGCAUCGGCAACAACAUUCGCCUUCCUAGGAUGGUAAUGCACUUCCAGGUCAUAAUCCUUUAUUAAUUCUAACCAACGGCGUUGCCUUAGGUUCAGAUCUGAUUGUUUGAAAAUAUACUUCAAACUUUUGUGAUCCGUAUAAAUAUCACACUUGUGUCCAAUUAAGUAAUGCCUCCAAAUCUUUAGAGCAUGAACCAUGGCAGCUAGCUCCAAAUCAUGAGUAGGAUAGUUCAGCUUAUGUUUUCUCAACUGCCUGGAUGCAUAGGCCACUACUCUUUCUUCUUCCAUAAGCACACAUCCAAGGCCUAGGCGAGAUGCAUCGCAAUAAAUAGAGAAGGUUUUACUCAAAUCCGGUAAGGUCAACACUGGGGCGGUCGUCAACCUUUUCUUUAGCUCCUCAAAAUUUUAUUGGCAUUUAUCUGACCAAAUAAAUUUGGCACUCUUCUCUAUUAGGGCUGUCAUGGGCUUUGCUAACUUAGAGAAUCCUUCAAUAAAUCUUCUAUAAUACCCAGCCAGUCCCAGAAAGCUACGGAUCUCACUAGCAUUGGUUGGAGGCUUCCAAUUUAGCACAUCCUGCACUAUACUGGGGUCUACGGCUAUUCCACCGUUAGAGACCACAUGUCCCAAAAAUGAGACCUCAUCCAACCAAAACUCACACUUGCUUUUCUUGGCAUAUAAUUUAUUCUCUCUAAGCUUUUGCAAGACCAGCCUCAGAUGUUCAGCAUGUUCUUCUUCUGUUUUGGAGAAGAUUAAUAUAUCAUCAAUGAAUACUACCACGAACUUAUCCAAAUAUUCCAUGAACACCUUGUUCAUCAUAUACAUGAAGUAUACAGGUGCAUUGGUCAGCCCAAAUGACAUGACUGUAUACUCAUACAAGCCAUACCUUGUGGUAAAAGCGGUCUUAGGUAUGUCAGUUGCACAGAUUUUCAACUUGUGGUAGCCAGAUCGGAGGGCAAUUUUGGAGUACACACAUGCUCCUUUCAGUUGGUCAAAUAAGUCAUCUAGUCUAGGCAGUGGGUACUUCUUUUUAAUAGUGACUUUAUUUAAUGACCGAUAAUCCACACACAUCCUCCUAGUGCCAUCUUUCUUAUCAACAAAAAUUACCGGUGCACCCCAUGGUGAAGAACUAGGACGAAUAAACCCUUUUUCUUGCAAUUCCUUAAGCUGUUUCUUAAGUUCCUCUAAUUCAUUUACCCCCAUUCUAUAUGGUCUUUUUGCUAUGGGUGCAGUUCCAGGUAAAAGCUCAAUAAGAAAUUCAAUGUCUCGGUCUGGUGGCAUACCUGGCAACUCGUCCGGGAACACAUCGGGGAACUCGUCCACCACCUGGUCUUCUUGAUUACCACUACUCAACUGAUUCACUGUAGCAGUCGGCUGAGGCUGAACUGCCACAUACACACUUAUUAUGUCCCCACCCGGUGAUGUCACCACCAUAGACUUCUCCUAACACUGAAUUACUGCCCCAUGCUGCUUCAUCCAAUCCAUUCCAAGUAUAAGGUCAAUUCCCAUGGUUCUCAACACAAUGGGUUUCACCUUGAAAUCUACCCCGCUUAAGGAUAUACUAGUGGAGAGGCUCUAGUAAUUAGCUGGCAUGUUGCCUCCCGGUGAAUUUACUAGCAUAGAAUUUUUCAGUGCACAAAGUGGGAUGCUAUGCACUCUAACAAAAGCAUGGGAGAUAAAAGAAUGUGAAGCACCAGAAUCAAACAGUACUGUAGAGGGGAUGGAGUUGAUGUUGAACGUACCCAUCAUAACCUCAGGUGCUUCGUGAGCUAUGUCAGUGGACACAUGGUUCACUCUUCCAGAGAACGGAGGUCGAGCAGGCCUCUGAUUGCUGUUCUGGUUUUGCUGGGCUGGUGGAUUCUGCUUCUUUGGGCACUGGUAUGCAUAGUGUCCCACCUCUCUGCAGUGGUAGCAGGCAUUGGGGUUGCUGCUGGGUGCUGCACUCUUGCCAAGAGCAUUGUUGGGCACUCCUUGGCGUGGUGCUUGGUUGCUGGCCUGUUGUUGGGGACGCUGCUGACUCUGAUCUCCAUACUGAUGCUAAGGACGUUCUUGGUUCUGGUGGUUGUACUGCUGGUGGUACGGAGGACGCUGAGGAAACUGACCACGGUUUCACUGAUUCGGUGGACCUUGACUGCGCUGCGGGAAUCCUUGCUGAGGAUACGCACGUGGGCGAGUGUUGCUGCCCGACGGCUGCCCCUGGAGCAUCCUUUUCUUUGCGUCCAUCUCCUUGCGCUUGUUGUCGAUGACAAUAGCGCGGUUCACCAAUUCUUGGAAACAAGGGUAGGUGUUGCUCAUCAGCUGCAGCUGCAGUCCAUCAUACAAACCCUUUAGGAAGAGACGCUGCUUGUCAGAGUCCCUGGCCACCUCAUAUGGAGCAUAUCGUGACAGUUGUGCAAACUUGUCACGAUACUAACUGACUGACAUCGAUCCCUGCUUGAGGGACCGGAACUCUUCUGCUUUCAAUUCUAUCAGGCCCUCUGGAAUAUGAUGGGACCUGACCCCUUCAGUAAACUCCUUCUAGGUGACUGGCGGAGCAUUGUUCGGGCGUCCAUAUUGAUAGGACUCCCACCACUCCUGUGCAGGUCCUUGCAGUUGGCCUGAGGCGUACAACACUUUCUCCAGAUCACUGCAUUGGGCUAUGUUCAGCUGCUUCUCGACUGCUUUUAAUCAGUCGUCUGCCUCCAGUGGAUCAGAGGCAUGGGUGAACAUCGGGGGAUGUCCUUUCAACAUCUCCCCACGCUUGUCACGGACUUGAACCGGCGGUGGUGCUGCUACCAGCUCAUUGUUCAUACGGUUCAUCAUGGCUUGCAUCAGAUUAGCUUGCAUACCCAUGAGCUGCUCAAUAGUCAUCGGCGGCGGUGGUGGUGGUGGAUUCUCAGGUACACCACGUCCACGGCCAUGACCACGGUCAUGGCCACGUCCACGACCAGCGCCUACUCCUUCGGCGUCCAUCUGCUUCCAACAAAGAUUCACGGCUUUUAGUGAUCUUCCAAAAUAAUUAUUCAUCGCUUAUAAUGAAUAAAAACAAGACUAGCAGUUUUCUGGACAAGUUUCAAACUCAGCAGGUCAGUAAACCAUGCUUAUCUCAGAAUCUACAGAUCCAAUAGGAACACGGUAUACAUCGUUGGAAAGGUUAAGAAAUUCUCUACAAACUUUAUUCAGACCACAUUUACUGAUUCGAACAGUAACAUAAUCAAAAUUGUGGUUUAUCAGGUUCUGCUCUGGUUCUCAGUCUGCACAGGUACAGCAGAUUAAAUCGGACAUAUCUCAUAGACCCGAACAGAUAAUGAGGUGAUUCAGUUGGAGAUGAAAGAUAUACCAGUCUAGUUUUCACCAUAGAAAUUUCGUAAUUUUUGACUGAACCAAUUAUUAGAUACAGAAUAAACAUCACAGACUGCUCCAGAAACAGCAUGACUGAGACAAAGAUAAAGUAACCCAACCUCACAUUAAACAACAUUUACUUCUAAGAUUAAGGUUUAGAAACAUGCGGACAGGCCCACAUGCUUCCACGAUCAUACAAAAACUCCAAAUCAUAAUUGUUCAUCAUCACAAACAGCAACACACUGAAAGUUCAGAUGCCACACAUAACGGAAACACUCGUGCAAACGUCUAACUAGAAGGUACUGGGACAUCUAGGGAGCUCUAUCCUGCAAAACGAACUUGCAGGGCUUCUUCUUGUAGAUGGGUGGCUGUCCAAGCUGACCACGCAGCUCAUCCACCUGGUGCUGGAGGCGCUUCCCCGCCUGCUGUGCAACACGCAGCUCCUGCCUCAGUGCCACAUUCAUCUCCUGAAUGGCACUAACGUGUCUCACAGUCGUAUCAGGGUAGGGUCACCGGCAGGAGGUGCCAGGACAUGCCAUGUCCAGCCAUCUAGGUCGUUGCGGGGAAGGAACCGGUACCUAUCCUCCUGCAUGGCCUCAAAACGGCGGCCAUGGUAGUGAAAGUACGGAGCUUGGGCUGCAUCCUCCAUGCUCUCGUAGGCGGAAGCACGCCUAACCCUGCUCUCAUGGAUGGGCUCCACCUCAUCCGAGUUGUCGACGUUGUUCCGAGCUGUGAUGAUCACCUCGGCCUUCCAGUAGGUGUUCUCCAACGGGUGCUUGUGCUCCGAGCAAAGGUAGCGGACGGUGGCAGCAAACUCCGGGUAGUAGCUCGCCAACACACCCGUGAGCAGAGUGUGGAAGUGAGCAUCCUCGUCAGCCUCCAUGAACUUGUUCCUGGAGGUCCAUCCCAUCUCUGGGAGAACCUUUUUUCUCAAAAACGCAGGAGAGUUGCGCUUCAUUAUAUAUAGAAGAAGGAAAAAGGGGAUAGACCCCAAGUACAACCCACACAACACAACACCACUGCACAAAUACAGCACCACACCACACAACACAACACCACUCACACAAGAAAGAAAACAGCUAUAUAUCGCCUGUCAAGGGAAAAUACGACCACGACUAAACAGCCACCAAGCUGCUACAGCAUAACAGGGGGUUGAGGAGGUGGGGCAGUCAAGAAAGACAGCCCUCGGGCCCCAGCCACAACCCACAACUGACUCUCCUCUAGAGCAAGGUGAAGGGCGGUACUCAAGCUAGGGUUAUUUCCAUCAAACACACACCUAUUACGAUGAUUCCAUAAGGUCCAUGCUCCAAGAAUUACAAGAGAGUUGAACCCCUUUUUAGUAAAUCCACUAACAGCCUUACUGGAAUCAUCCCACCACUUAUCAAAUGACCAAUCAGAAAGUUGUGGACAGAGGUGCUGAAACCCAAAACGUCGAAACAAGAAGAACCAAAACUGUCGGGCGAAGACACUGGAUACCAGCAAAUGAUUAAUAUUUUCCUCUUCUUGAUCACACAGAGGGCAUUGUGCCGGGUGUGGCAUCCCUCGUUUUGCCAUCCUAUCAGCAGUCCAACACCUGUCAUGUGCGACUAACCACAUGAAGAAGCGACACUUGGGUGGGGCCCAAGUUUUCCAGAUUCUCUUGUAUGGGCCAAAUAUAGUCGAACCUAUGAAAAAACCCCCAUAUGCUGAUUUGGCCGAGUACACUCCACUAGAGGAUAGGCGCCAUAUGUGGGAGUCUUCUUAUUUUGGGUGUAACUGGAAGUCAUGAAUGAGAUCCCAAAGAUUGAGGAACUCCAACAUUGUUUCCACUGUCAUGGCUCCUCGAAUAUCUUGAACCCAAGCAUGAUCAAUGAAGGCCUCUUGGACUGUGCGUUUCUUAGCAGUCCUCUUAGGUAUUGCAGCAAGAAGGUGAGGGGCAAGGUCUCCAAUUGAGUGUCCAUGCAACCAUCUAUCAGCCCAAAAAAGAGUAUUAGUUCCGCUGCCAACUUCAGUUACCACAGCAACAUUGUAGAAGGCAUGGACCUGACCAGGGACAUGAAUUGGAAAAAUAGCCCAUAGGCUGCCAGGUUCAAUUCUCUGAAGCUGUUGAUGCAAACGUUGGUCUGCAAACACAAAGGGCUAAUACCUGUAACAGAACCGUCCAAUUUAUAAGAAUUCAAGUGAAUUAGCGACCACGGAGGCAGUCAAGCCAAUGAACUUGAACCCAUAUAAACCCGGUAGUCCGACGAAAUCUCAAAAGAUCUCGAUUCAACCAACAUACAACCAAGAUCGUACAUGAUCAAGCAUCACCAUCACAGAUUACAAACAUUCAUCGCAGAACAUAGUUUUACAUCACAUCAGAGUUUGAAUGCGGUUAUUACAAACCAAAGCAGUAGCGGAAACAAAGUAGUUUUGAAACAACACCAACUCAGUUUAUAUUACAUGCCAGUUCCAUAGUCAAACCCACAAAAGCACAACCAAAGAUAAAGAGGGUGAUCACGCCCAUGAUCUAUUCAUCGUCCACAGCCGGAUGAUGGCAGUUAGCGCAAUAGCCGUGAUACACGAUAUCAUCUGCAACAGGGGUAAAUAAAACCCUGAGUACGAGAAUGUACUCAGCUAGACUUACCCGUCAUAAACCAAAAAUAAAGUGACACCAAGGAGUAUGCAAGGCUGAUCUUUGUGGGCUGGUUGACUCACCUUUUUGCAUAAAAGCUUUUGUAGUAAGUAACCCAUUUAUCAACUUUCAGCAACAGGUUCAUUAUUUAACAGCUAUCCACUAGAUUAGCACCUAAUCUAAACAUACACCUGAAUAUUUAAGCAUCACAAUAAUAACCAUAUCCAGAUUUUCACAUAGCUAUCAUCAUUCUCAUCAUAACCAUUAAGUUUAUUUAGUGAAUUCUACGUUGCCGCUGCCCAAGUCAAGUUCUCACUAUCCGGGAGAGACGGCGAUUCGAAUCGAUUCCUAUCCAGCUGGAGGGGUAUUCCUAACACUCACCCAAGCAUACUUCAUGACGGCAGCUCGGAUCACCUUUAGCACAACUCCGGACCAAGUCACGGGUCCGUCCAGCGCCGCACCCCAGGGACCGCCAAUCUGCCAUGGCAGGACUCUAACCAGACACCUGGGCUUACGCCAUUGACUCCCCGCACAUCCUUACUACCAACCGGGGUGCGCACUCAUACAGAACGGGGUAUCCGGCCUGAGUUGCACUCGUAGGCUUCGCGGUCGGAACGACUUAUCCGGCCAACUAAGUGAUAGGCAUGCGUUCAACAUGACACGGGGACUUACAGCGAUUCGGUCCUUACACGACACAGACGGGGAUAGAUUCACACCCAAGACCUCCAUGCCUUGUUGCUGCACUAUCAUCAUCCCGCCCGGUCUCAAGUUCAUUAUUAGCACAUGGUUAUUUCCACGAUAGCAAAUAUAGCCAACCGUGAUCAUCAUCCACCUAACUCUCGCAGGUGAUAGGAAAUCACCUGGCUUCUACCGAGCUAAGCAUUUCUAAGCAUCACUUCGAUCCUGGACCUACUUAGGUGAGGUAUGAGGUGGACAAGGUAGUCUUUAUGCAGCAAGGGUGUCAUAUCAACGCCUACCACUUAAUGCAACAAUAUAUAACCAUAGUCAAUUGAUAGCUGAACAUGAAUAAUAAAAUAGUAGGAGGCUUAUAAUGCUCCGGGGCUUGCCUUCGACGUAGGUAGAGGGAGGGUGAUCGGGACACUCCGGCAAGUCCUCCUCCUCCUCAGCCCCUUGAGGUGGCUCCCCUUGUUGACCUUCCGACUCCGGCAGCUCGAACUCCAACACUGUCACGCCCUUGGGUACACCUAUGUAUGCAUGACAAAGAGAUAAAUAUAGAGAAUGCACAUAUGAUGCAUGAUGUCAUGAUGUCAUGAUGAAGAGCCAAAGGGACAUAAAACAAGGUAUAACAUGAGCAUAAACUCUUAAGAUUAAGUGAAUCUUGUACAACAAGUAAGUGCAUACUUCUUCUCUGGUAGAGGGGCUAACUAGACAAGUCAAACAAUCCUAGCUACUCCUACUUAAUCACUGAUUUAGUGGACAAACCAGCCUAUCACAAGUUUCAGCUCUAACUUGAGCAUCCUUUGGCCAAACCAAGCAAGUAAGUACUUUCUGGAAAGCUUAGCAAAUUGUCUACAAUUCACUUUUAGACAUCCCAGAAUGAUUCCCAACCGAAAUAUGCAAAAACCUACAAGGUUGGCUGGCUGCCGUGGAAAAUCCAGAGAGCAAGCACUUCACAGCAGCUACUUGUAACAUGCAUACCUUUUAAACUACUCAACCAAAUGUCAACUUGGACACGAAGUAGAUUAGCAAGUUAGCUACAUGUUUGUUGUAGACAAGUUUCCCAGAAAAUAUAAUCUUUAAUCAGAUCUUAAGCAAUUGCUAUCAGCUACACAGGAUCACCCUAGGAAAGGCAUAAAUAGCAAAAUUAAUAUUUUGCACAUAACAAGAAUACAUCAAAGGGUCAAUUCAAAUGCACCAGUAAAUAGAAUAUGUCUAAGAAACACUAGAAAACAUCAUGGCAAGGUCUAAACUCAUUUCUAUCAUCACUUUUUCCAUUUAUUUAAUUAUUAAGGUGAUUUAAUGAACAUGCAUUCCAAGUGUUCCAAAAAUCCUAAGAAAAUUACAGCAAGCUACUUAUGCUAACAUAAGAUCACUGUAAAAUUUUCAGAACAUUUGCACAUACAGAUUGUGAGGUAUAAAAAUAACAAGCUAGUAAAGGCAUGCAAGGCAUAAAUGUGAAACCCUAUCAAAAAGUGUCAAACAACAGAUUUCAGAUUUUUUCUAGCUUUGUCUACAUAUGUGUACAACACUCAGCAAGUUUCACCACAAAAGGAGCUAUAACUUAUUUAUUAAAAAUACCACAAGAAACUCCUAUUUAAGCAAGAAUUAUUUUUAACUUCACAAUCAGGCUUUCACAAAUCAUGAUAAAUUUAUCAGAGUCUAUUCAUAACCUUAGCAACCACACCCUAAAUUUGCAUGGCCAGCAGAUCAAUAGAUUUCAAGAUAUAAUUACCUACUAUAAAUCCAAGAUUAAUUUAUAUCUAAUUAAUUCCACAAAAACAUGGCAUGUUUCAUAUUUUUAUUAAAAACUACACUCAUACUGGAACCUAGCAAAAUUGGAACCAUGUCAUUUGGAUCUAUACAACUCAAGAUAUGAAUUUUACAAAAUCAGCAUAGGAUCUGCAAAACAGUGAAUCAGAGAGGUGAGAGGGAGAGGCGGACACACGGGACCCGCGUGUCAGAGAGACAGUGACAGGGGAGAUGCUCGUCGCCGGCAAAGCUCAACGACGACGAGGUCUCGGCCGGAUCCAAGGGCAUUUACGUGUUCCUCUCAUCAAGGCGACUCUGUUGACCUACUUUACCCGCGCUCUAGUGGACUCUAGGGUGCUCGCCGUCGGGAAUGGCGGAGCGGCGGCGCUGCGCGGCGUUACGCCGGCGGAUCCAGGCAAUGGCGAUGUGGUAGAGCUUCACGCCGAGCAUCUGUGAGUCAAGGGGAAGCGAUAGGAACAAGAAUGAAGGAAAAUGGUGGAGCAGAGAGGCCUGGCCACGUUGCCGGUGAGCUCGGGCGGAACUCCAGCGAGGGAGAAUGGCUCGGAGCUCGGCAAUGCCGCCUUACCCAUGCUCGACCAUGGCCAAGGAGGUGACGUCGAGGUAGAGGACGUCGAGGCGGAGAUCUGGGCGGGUUGGCUUGGCCGGAGGCGCGGUGAAACGGCCGGAGAAGCUCGCCGAAACGCGACAGAGCUCACCGAGGCGACGGCGGAGCGAAAUGGGAGGCGUUGAGCGAGUGGAGGGCGCGUCUGAGGCACGGGGUGGCGUCGUGGCGUCCAUGUGAAGGUGUCGGGGCUGACAGGUGGGGUCACCGUCGACGUACGGCCGCCAGGUGGCCGGACAUGCGGUGGCGGGCGAGCUCUGUCCAAACUGAAUCGGCCGAUUGCAGUGACUGAAACUCAAACUUUGUCGACGUUUUACUCUUAGCUCACUAGAUGGUUUUGGCUGGGAUUUGGUCCUCCGGAUAGAGCUACACGAGUUCUACAACUUUGAUUUCACGAGCUCAGUCUAAAUCGAUCUGGAUUUCAAACUACAAGGCUCCCAACAACCCUACCUCGAAACUGUGUGAUUCAAGACUUAGCCAAAUUUGGCUAAGUGUGAAAUCAGCCCUGAUUUUUGGCUUCUGAGCAAAUUUUGGAGGUGUUCCAAGCUUUUUCAUAAAAAGUCAUCAACAUAACUUUUGUAUCUUAUGACAUUCUCUACAACUUUGUUUCAGGUGUCACAGACAUGCAAGGUCUCUAACAUUACUUUCAUAAAACAUCUUUGAAAGGAGGUUUAGGGGGUCAAAUAGGUCAUUCUAGGGUUAACCAUGACUUAAAGACAUUUUUGGACAAAACCUUCAACAUGAACUUUGUUCAAUAUGAUGUUCUAAACAUGAUUAAAGUAUUUUGGAAAAGAUUGCACACUUACAUGUAUUGGUCACCCACUAAAGUCACUCAAAACAAGUCAGACAAGCAAUUUAAUCACAUAGUACAUGUAGUAAAUGGCAUGUGAUCAUGGUAUGAUGCUCAUGAGUGAUCAUGAUGAUGCUUAUGUUGAUGUAAUGCUCAUGGUUAACAUGCAAGCUAACACUAGGAGUGUUACAAUACCCGAUUCAAACGUUAAGGCGUGCCAGCGUAUUUGACCUUACUAUCGGCAAAGGUGAUAACUCGAAUACUUUGGUCCUGACAACAGCGAUGCGCUCGGAUGUCACAGCCAAGAGGUAUUCAUGCGGAACUCGAGAAUACGCCAAGCUUAGGUCGAUGAACUCCUAAGAACUCGUAGUAAAAAGGAAAAUAUGACGAAGUCGUCGAAAAAGUAGAUGCUAGAAUGUGAGUAAAAACUUGUGUUUGAUUGAUUGAUAGAUUUUUCAUUACAAAGCCCUAGGGUCUACAUUUAUACCAUGCUCAAAGAGCUACAAUCAGACACGACUAGGACUCGAAUUCCAAAUUAAAAAGAAUACGUAUACAAAACAAAUUUAAAUAUCUAUGGAAAACAUAAAACUAUCCUCCCGUGACAAACCGGGACACCACCAUAGAUCAAUGGGUAACCUUCAUGUCCUCCUUCCGAGUCAUCGACAGACUUCUCAUCAUAGCCAUCGGCAAAGACUAACGCUGACCAUCGGCACGAACGCGUCACCACUUCUGGACUUAGUCACAUUCAGCUGUCUCUUCAUCGGCAACCACCCUCAUCGGCAACUCCCCUGCAGACCAGUUACUGUUGCCCCAUCUUGCCGAUCUAUACUUUACCGAUCCCUGGGUACGUGUCCAAAAACGGUGUCAACACAUGCCCCCCAAUUUCAGAGUAUAAAAUCAUUAAUGCUCCAAAAUUCUCUGCAGAAAUUGUUGACGGUUCUUAAGUAUCAAUUUUAAUUAUCAAAUAAACAAGAGAAAGGACCAAUAUGCAACCAACACCUAGAAUUAGGGUUUGAUCUGACAGAAUUCCACGAGUUUUGUUGUUUAUCUGUUUCUGCAGGGGGUUAUCAGGAAAUAAGGGAGAAAGGCCCACAUGUCGGGAUAACAUAGAGGUAUCAACGCACCUCGCAAUUUUCUACCAUCUAGAAGACUCCAGAAGCCACGAGACCGAAGCGGAGGCGAAACGGGGCCAGGCCCAGGGCGCCCGCCCUGAGGACCUGGGCGCCCGCCCCCUGCUGAAGCCAGAUCAGGACUCUCUUCGCUCGGGAUAUUCCACCGACCUAUUGGAUCAAGAAAAACAUAGUACCACCUCGCCUAUCGACCCAAAAACGCAUAGAAGUGGAGGACUAUAUAAGGAGACCCCCUUGGCCCCUGGAGAAGACAUGAAGAAAUUAUCAUAGAGAUUGAGGGGUGCCCUCGAAGGAAAACCUCUUCUCUAAUUAAUAUUUCUUUUAGGCUUAGCAACCAAUGUAAGGUAGAAAUAGAUCUUCUAGUUUCUACUAGAUUGAGAGAGAUAGAGUGGAGGUGUAGAUUGGAGGAAGCUCGGCUUGUCGGUGUCUACUCCAAGCUUGUACCUGCGGGAUCAAGUUCUCCUAACCCGAAGCUUGCUCCUAGGAUUCUUUAGUAAUUCGACUUCUAAAUUCUAGUAAGUUCUUGUUUUAUUGUUCUUAUGGUUUAUGAGUUUACUUUAAUCUCUUCGCGUAGAGUUUAGAGUAAUCAUUGCUGGCGUAAACGUGGUGUUUAGGCUGGGGUACUCAUAGAUAUUCCCUGACUAGCUGGACCGUGGUAGUAGUGAGGAACGUGACAAUUCCGAGCUACCUUUGUAGAUCACAUCUCGUUAGCAGGAAGGAUAGGGUUUAUAGGUGUGGGUCGAACAUCCUUUGUGUUGUCUAGAUUCCGUUAGCCUCCCCAUUAGAACAGUAGAUCAUCCUUACCAAGGUUAGAAGGAGACUACGGUUGCAGUCUUCUCUAUUUAUCACUCACAUCGAAAGACAUUCUUUGUGCCGAAAGGUUAGUAGUAAUAGACCGGUUAGUCAGAUGCACUCUUUCUCCUAGUGGUAAAAAAAUAAAUACGAUACUCUGGAUAAUUUCUCGGGUGAAGUGCUCACCGAUAUCCGUGCGCUUGCGGAUCAAUUCCUUAUUGCGUUCCCAAAUAUCAAAAAGCAUUUCUGGCGCCGUUGCCGGGGAGAAAGACGGUUGCUGAGAUAACCUGAGUCUUGCUACUAGCUUGUAUCUAUACUUUUAUCUUUUCUUUUAUAUUCUUUAUUGAUUUUCUUUACUCUUACCUUAUGGAAAACCAAAAUUCUAAAUCGAUCCAUGAGUCUGCAAUCCCUUUAGCAACUGACCUUUUACCUUGGGAAUCAUCACAGCCUAUCCAAACAUCCCAGUAUAAGUUAAGUUCUAGGUUGAUUGCCAUGAUUCAAAACCUAUCUUUUUCGGGAAAGGAAGACGAAAACCCUUACCUUCAUAUUAGAGAUUUUGAGCAAACAUGUGAUUGUCUUCGCAUUGAAGGCAUUUCUGAUAAAACUUUACGUUGGAAGCUUUUUCCUUUUUCCUUAAGGGGAGAAGCUAGACAAUGGUACAGUCAGAAGGUAAGUCAACAAAAAGGUGAAUGGGGAGUUUUACGAGCCAACUUUUGUCUAGAUUUCUAUUCCCUUGACCGUAUAGCCGACCUUAGACUCGAAGUCCUAUCUUUUAAACAAAAAGAUAAUGAAACUUUGGAAAAAUCCUGGAAACGUUUUUCUGAUCUUUUAGAAUCUGGUCCAAACCUUAAUCUUGAAGACCCUGUUCUUUUAUUUCACUUUUUUCGAGGUCUUCAGAAAAAUCACAAACAAAUGCUACCCACAAUGUCUAGAGGUUCUUUCUUUCGCAUCGCUGCUGAUGAAGCUAGAGUGAUCCUAGAUAGAAUCCUAGAAGCUGAGAUGGAUAAUACCCUUCAUGAUGAAACCUACGAAGCCGAAGUAGACACUCUGCCAAAUUCUUCAUCUACUUUAGCUAUCCCAAGUUCUGAGCCACAAGAGGAAGAAAUUCCACCACCGGACUUCAUGCUGGAUAUAGAAUCCGAUCUUUUUGCCGAUUUUGGAAAUAUUUCAAACUACCAUUCUAUUGACAAACCCCAAAACGGCCAGUUUAGCAUUUAUUUGCCAAGAGAAUAUCAAUUGAGAGAGCUUAUCUCAGUAAUGAGUAGCGAAUGGUUGGAGGAAUCAGAGCUUUCCUCUGAUGUGAUCCGUUUGGACACACCCUCUAUAACUAUACGUUGUGCUUAUAAUUCUGAUCGAUUUAAUGCUCUUUAUAAUCCUGUUGUGGGGAUCAACAUCAUGUCUGAAUCUUUUGCACUUAAACUAUUUAAAAAUCUUGUCUUAACCCCCACAACAAAGGUCAUAAAGGAAUCUUCGGGACGAUUAGUCCCCAGUCUUGGAAUUAUAAAUGUCCUACCUCUUACGGUAGAAGGCUCCAUGGUUCAUUUGAACUUCUAUAUCUUUGAUACAUGGGACUUCGACCUAUUGAUAGGACAACCUUUUAGAAGACUCCUUUAUGAAGGUCAUACUGGAAAGCUACACAUUUCUUUUGGAAAAACUUUUAAAUUCCCAAUAAUAAUUUCACACUCCUUAAACAAUAAGGCCGAGUCAUAUCUUUUGCCUGAUCCUAUGGAGGAAGUAAAGGCUGCAUCUCUAGAGCUUUUAGAUGAACCAGACUUAGAAGACGAAACUCCUUUCUUCACAGAAGAAGAAGAUGAACCUUCUGAGCCUGAACCCUUAGAUGAGUUUGCAGAAACACCUAGACCCCCCAUAGAACUUAAAACUUUACCACCCGGUCUUACCUAUGCUUUCCUAAACAAUAAUCCAGAGUUCCCUUUGAUCAUUAGCGAUAAACUCACUCAGGAUCAAACUCUGCGAUUAAUGACCAUUCUUGAGAAACAUCACUCAGUGUUUGGCUACUCACUCCAAGAUCUUACAGGAAUCAGUCCUAUGAUUUGUACCCAUCGUAUUCCAACAGAUCCUUCUGUUACACCCUCUCGAGAACCCCAACGUAGACUUAACAACACUAUGAGAGAGGUAGUUAAAAAGGAAGUUAUAAAGUUGCUGCAUGCAGGGAUUAUAUAUCCUGUGCCGCACAGUGAGUGGGUGAGCCCAGUACAAGUUGUGCCUAAAAAGGGAGGCAUGACUGUUAUUAUGAAUGAAAAGAACGAGCUAAUUCCGCAACGCACCGUCACAGGAUGGCGGAUGUGCAUAGACUAUAGAAAACUAAACAAAGCCACGAGAAAAGAUCACUUUCCUUUACCUUUUAUAGAUGAGAUGCUAGAGCGGUUAGCAAACCAUUCAUUCUUUUGUUUCUUAGAUGGAUAUUCAGGGUAUCAUCAAAUCCCGAUCCAUCCUGAUGAUCAAAGCAAAACCACUUUUACAUGCCCUUAUGGAACUUAUGCUUACCGUAGAAUGUCUUUUGGGUUAUGUAAUGCACCAGCUUCUUUUCAAAGAUGCAUGAUGUCUAUAUUUUCUGAUAUGAUUGAAGAGAUUAUGGAAGUUUUCAUGGAUGAUUUCUCUGUUUAUGGAAAAACUUUUGAUAGUUGUCUUGAAAACUUAGACAAGGUUUUGCAAAGAUGUGAAGAAAAGCACUUAAUCCUUAAUUGGGAAAAAUGUCAUUUUAUGGUUAGGGAAGGAAUAGUGCUGGGACACUUAGUGUCUGAAAGAGGUAUUGAGGUAGACAAAGCUAAAAUUGAAGUAAUUGAACAACUACCUCCACCUGUAAACAUAAAAGGAAUUCGAAGCUUUCUUGGCCAUGCUGGUUUUUAUCGUAGAUUCAUAAAAGAUUUUUCAUUUAUUGCUAGACCACUUACUCUUUUGCUAGCCAAGGAUGCUCCUUUCGAAUUUGAUGAUGCAUGUCUAACAUCGUUCAAUUUAUUAAAGAAAGCACUCAUCUCUGCACCAAUCAUUCAACCCCCUGAUUGGUCGCUGCCUUUUUGAAAUUAUGUGUGAUGCUAGUGAUUAUGCUGUGGGGGCAGUAUUGGGACAAACUAAAGAUAAGAAGCAUCAUGCAAUUGCUUAUGCCAGUAAAACUUUGACAGGAGCUCAACUUAACUAUGCAACCACUGAAAAAGAGCUUCUGGCUGUUGUCUUUGCCAUUGAUAAAUUUAGAUCUUAUUUAGUUGGAGCUAAAAUAAUUGUUUACACUGAUCAUGCUGCACUAAAAUAUUUGCUCACUAAAAAAGAUGCUAAACCUCGCCUGAUUAGAUGGAUCUUAUUACUCCAAGAAUUUGACUUAGAAAUAAAAGAUAAAAAAGGAGUAGAAAAUUCUGUUGCUGAUCACUUGUCUAGAAUGUAUUUUAAGAGUCCACAGGAAACCCCCAUCAAUGAUUCACUCCGGGACGACAUGCUCUACAGGAUUAACAGGUCUGACCCCUGGUAUACAGAUAUUGUUAAUUUUAUGGUUUCAGGGUAUGUACCACCAGGAGCAAACAAGAAGAAGCUUAUUCAAGAAAGUCGUUCACAUAUAUGGGAUGAGCCAUACCUCUUCCGAGUAUGCUCUGAUGGCUUACUUAGGAGAUGUGUGACCACUGAGGAAGGAUGGAAGAUCAUCGACAGAUGUCAUUCAUCACCAUAUGGAGGUCACUAUGGAGCAUUCCGUACACAUUCAAAGAUCUGGCAGUGUGGAUUCUACUGGCCUACAAUGUAUGAAGACACGAGGCAAUAUAUCAGAAGAUGUGGGCCAUGUCAAAGGCACGGAAACAUAAAUACAAGGGAUGCAAUGCCACUCACCAACAACCUUCAGAUUGAGCUCUUUGAUGUCUGGGGAAUAGACUACAUGGGUCCAUUUUCUCCAUCAAAGAAGUGCGAGUACAUCUUGGUGGCAGUUGACUAUGUCUCCAAGUGGGUAGAGGCAUUACCUUGCAAGCAUGCCGACAACGUCAGUUCAAAGAGGAUGUUUGAAGAAAUUAUAUUUCCAAGAUUUGGAGUCCCCAGAGUAGUGAUAAGUGAUGGAGGAGCACACUUCAUCGACAAAUGCUUCAAGCAAUAUCUAUCCAGACAUGGAAUCCGUCACAACGUCGCUACCCCCUAUCAUCCUCAGACAAGUGGCCAAGCAGAAACUUCCAACAAACAAAUCAAGAAUAUUCUUCAGAAGACAGUAAAUGAAAUGGGAACGGCGUGGAAAGACAAGUUACCUGAUGCACUCUGGGCAUACCGGACAGCAUACAAGACCCCAAUUGGGAUGUCUCCAUAUCAAUUGGUGUACGGGAAGACUUGCCAUCUACCUGUUGAACUAGAGUUCAAAGCACACUGGGCCAUAAAGAGAUGGAAUAUGGACCUAGAUGUUGCUGGAGAUUAUAGAAGAAUGCAACUAUCAGAAUUGGAAGAAUGGCGAGAGAAGGCAUAUCACAAUUUAAAGAUCUACAAAGAAAGAGACAAAAGGUGGCAUGACAAGAGAAUCAAGAAGAAGGAGUUCACACCCGGAGAUAAGGUAUUACUUUUUAAUUCCAGGGUGAAGCUUUUCGGGCAUGGAAAACUUCGGAGCAAAUGGGAAGGACCAUUCAAGGUAAUCAAUUCAUCAUCCCACGGAGCUAUCACACUUCAAAAUAGCGAAGGUACGUUAUUCAAGGUAAAUGGUCAACGUCUUAAAUUAUUUUUAGAGCCCAAUGAAGAAUUUGAAGAAAUAGACGUAGUCCAUUUUUACCUUCCCAUGGAGAAUUAGAGCCCGACACUUUUGGUCUGAUGGUUUUGGGUCAUAUAUAUAUUUUUCUAAAUAAUUCCGCAUCUAGAAACACGCUCGGAGAAGUGGGCCCACAGAGGGGCCAGAAAGAGGGCGGGCGCCCAGAUCAAGUGGGUGGGCGCCCAGCCCCUGUUCCCCCUCGGUGCCGACUUUCUCUGUUAUGGAAAAUGCACUUAGGGUGAUUCGAAUAAUCCCUCAGAUGGAAAGUUUUCCACGCACGUCGACGGGAGCAACCCAAACAACCUAUAGAGGCACCCUUUUGACCCCUAUAUAAACAGACCCCUGACCUCAGUUUUCAAACACCAAGCCACCAAGCUUUCUCUCCUUCAAUUAGAGCUUGAUUAGCUCUCCUUCAAUGAAAAUUUGAUUAGUUCCUUGCUGCUCCAAUGGCCGAGAAGUACCACGAUGAUUGGGAAGUCGUCCCCUUCAACCUCAACAUGGAGCCUGUGGAAGACCCCGAUGCCCGUGCUCUCGUCCCGGCCAACACAGAGCGACAGCUAGAAGCCAUGCCAUUACGCCAACGUAGCUCCACCCAAUCUUACCAUGCUCAACCAGUUCUCACCGCACCGCCACAACCCCUACUCCUCAAAGGAUCAUCAUCCAAGACAAAGACCACUAUCAAGGUGCCAAUCGGCACAAGGAUCCUUCCACCUAGACCCAAUGAGAGGGUCGUUGGAGUCAAGACCAACCGGAGCGGCGAGAUCAGCAGUAUUCGCUACACUACAGAGGAGGAAAGGCCUUACUUUGAAGGGAUUAGAGCAGCCAAAGUCCGUUUCAUCCCUCCAAAGGCAGCCCCAAAGCACUCUCUCAAUGCUUUUGAGACACCUCCCAAGCGUCGCAAGACUAUAAUGGAUAUUGAUGAGGAAGUUCGCAGGCUAGACAGAGUUAUCAUAGAUCUCCAGUCCUCGAUUAAUUCCCUUACUAGGCAGCUCUCUAACCACAACACUAUUAUACUAGGCCUUAGGCAGGAUCUUGCCAGUGCCAACAAGAAGAUCAAGGAAUUAGAGCGCCGCUAAGUUAUUUAGAUUAGACCUUGAGGCAAUGCAUCUUAGUUAUCUAUCUUUAAAUUCGGUUUAGGUUUACUAUCAUCAGUUUGCUAUUAUCAUCAGUUUGUUAUCAGUUUGCUACUAGUCUUUUGUAAUAAAUGCCUCAAGAUUAAUAAAGAGUAUUAUUAUUAUUAUUAUUAUUAUUAUUAUUAUUAUUAUUAUUAUUAUUAUUAUUAUUAUUAUUAUUAUUAUUAUUAUUAUUAUUAUUAUUAUUAUGUCUUGUGUGUCUCUACUUUAUUUUUGUACAAGAAAGUAGAAAACAUGUAUGGGGGAGAUCCCUCGACAUGCCAAACACACUCCGACUACACCACUCCACGAUUCAGGUACACACUCUGCACACUUUACACAUACAUAUAUUUUGGAUUAUGCAGAUUAUUGUUUUCGACAUGAUAAAAUAAAAAGAUUAAAAUAUUUCUAAUCAUGAUUAAUCUCAAUCUGUGAUAUUUCCUGAAAACUUACAAUUAUUGAAAAUCAUUUUAAAACCCUGUGUCACUUAAGUCAAUAUGGAAUAUGUGAUGGUAGAGUAUGAGUUUCUUAUUCUUGAUAUCAUUGUUGCUUGGAGAAUUUAUUUCAAAAUAAAAUUCUAGCUACCAUCCUCAGUGUUUUAUGCCUGAUAAGACUGAAAAUAUUAAUUAUGAUUAUAAAAGCUAUCUACUCUGUAUUGAGUUUGUUCAAAAUGAGUUAGACCCUUGUUGAGAGAUUUAUCAUGCUCCUAAGAUCAAGACAUUAUUUCAGAAAGAUUCACUCUUCCGAAGUAUUAUUGCAUUAGAGGCAUGGGCUAUGCAAAAAUAAAAAAAAAAUAUUUCGAGGAAAUAAAAAGGAGCAAGUGCUCGACAACCUCGCAGAAAAAAUGGACAAGUGUCCGGCAGUAGAAUUAGGGGUACCUCGGUAUCCACUUAAAAAAAUGAUAGCCCAUGGUCCCUCUAAUAAGCAAUAUGCCAGCAAGAGUUGACAAAGAUUUUAAUUUCCAAAGUCUUUGAUCUAAGAGUAUGACAUUCCCCUCCUCGGAUCUCGUUUUGAUCAGGCAACAAAUGCAAAGUAAGUAUGCUUGAGAAUUUUUGCAAAAAUAAAACAGCCUCAGUGAGAUAUAUAAAAGAUAAUGAGUGAUCUGAGAGAACCUAUGAGGAUAAAAGGUAUGCUAACUUUCUUUCAAAAAUAUACAAAAACUCCAAGUGACAGGAUUGAGAAGAAAGGAUGUUUACUCUUAACCAUAAACUUCCCUGACUAUGGUACACAGUGGAAUUUUUAACACCCUGCAAUUAUAAAGAGAAUGUUUUAAAUGUUUACCCCAUAUAUUGUUCUUAACCAUCCUUUUCUCGAGGACGAGUAAAAGUCUAAGUAUGGGGGUAUUUGUUGACGGUUCUUAAGUAUCAAUUUUAAUUAUCAAAUAAACAAGAGAAAGGACCAAUAUGCAACCAACACCUAGAAUUAGGGUUUGAUCUGACAGAAUUCCACGAGUUUAGUUGAUUAUCUGUUUCUGCAGGGGGUUAUCAGGAAAUAAGGGAGAAAGGCCCACAUGUCGGGAUUACAUAGAGAUAUCAACGCACCGCGGAAUUUUCUACCAUCUAGAAGACUCCAGAAGCCACGAGACCGAAGCGGAGGCGAAACGGGGCCAGGCCCAGGGCGCCCGCCCUGAGGACCUGGGCGCCUGCCCCCUGCUGGAGCCAGAUCAGGACUCUCUUCGCUCGGGAUAUUCCACCGACCUAUUGGAUCAAGAAAAACAUAGUACCACCUCGCCUAUCGACCCAAAAACGCAUAGAAGGGGAUGACUAUAUAAGGAGACCCCCUUGGCCCCUGGAGAAGACAUGAAGAAAUUAUCAUAGAGAUUGAGGGGUGCCCUCGAAGGAAAACCUCUUCUCUAAUUAAUAUUUCUUUUAGGCUUAGCAACCAAUGUAAGGUAGAAAUAGAUCUUCUAGUUUCUACUAGAUUGAGAGAGAUAGAGUGGAGGUGUAGAUUGGAGGAAGCCCGGCUUGUCGGUGUCUACUCCAAGCUUGUACCUGCGGGAUCAAGUUCUCCUAACCCGAAGCUUGCUCCUAGGAUUCUUUAGUAAUUCGACUUCUAAAUUCUAGUAAGUUCUUGUUUUAUUGUUCUUAUGGUUUAUGAGUUUACUUUAAUCUCUUCGCGUAGAGUUUAGAGUAAUCAUUGCUGGCGUAAACGUGGUGUUUAGGCUAGGGUACUCAUAGAUAUUCCCUGACUAGCUGGACCGUGGUAGUAGUGAGGAACGUGACAAUUCCGAGCUACCUUUGUAGAUCACAUCUCGUUAGCAGGAAGGAUAGGGUUUAUAGGUGCGGGUCGAACAUCCUUUGUGUUGUCUAGAUUCCGUUAGCCUCCCCAUUAGAACAGUAGAUCAUCCUUACCAAGGUUAGAAGGAGACUACGGUUGCAGUCUUCUCUAUUUAUCACUCACAUCGAAAGACAUUCUUUGUGCCUAAAGGUUAGUAGUAAUAGACCGGUUAGUCAGAUGCACUCAUUCUCCUAGUCGUAAAAAAAUAAAUACGAUACUCUGGAUAAUUUCUCGGGUGAAGUGCUCACCGAUAUCCGUGCGCUUGCGGAUCAAUUCCUUAUUGCGUUCCCAAAUAUCAACAGUAAUGAUGCCUUUUUGUAAUUAGUUCUCUCAAUUUGGUCACCGACCGUUGAAGUCGAACAACCCUGGCCCGAUUCUUCCGCAGAUUCCUCGAAUUCCUCAACCUCCCAAACUGGACAUCUCCACUUUAUUCGCCCAUCGGCAAUAUUACCGUUAGAGGGAGCUGCCGAUGGACCGACCAGGAGAUCUUGCACAGUGAAAUAUCCCCAAAACCACGACCGCCUGCUGUCAAAUCACCUGUGCAAUCCCUUGAUUAUCGUGCGAACAGUUACCAUAUCCAUCUGAACACCCUCGGAUUUUACGGAUGCGGCAAAGAGAUAAGUCAGAUUUGCCCCUACCCGUUUUGUCCUAUAAAUACUUCCUUCUCGGGUACUCCUUCUCCAUCUUGUCAUUCUACAGCCCAAAACUUACUCUCACGGCGGCGGCAGCACCUGAGGUUUCCAAGAUCUCCAACGAAGGCCUUUCUCCACCAACUCCAAAGUUUUCGAUCAUCUCCCUUGCGAGGAAAUGGCCAUCAACUUCGCUGUUCCUGAGGUCAGUUCACCACCCCGUCUUUUGUACUUUUAUCAUAUCCCUGUUCAUCCGCAAUUCAUCUUACUGAACAUUCCUCUCCUUUUUCAUUUGUUCUUCUUUUCUCCUUAAAAAACUUCUAGGAUUUGUCCAAUAAGAUUGUCAUCCCUACCGAUCAACCACACCUCCAAUGUCUCGGCCCGCUAGGGAACCUAGAUCCCACCGAUCUGAUAAACGCAGAGACAAACAGAAUUCCUUUUAGAGCCAAAAAUUUUUCUCUAGAUCUAUGGAAAGAUGCCUUCCGUUCCUAGCCCACUCCUACCAAGGGAUGGAAGGAUUGGUUCUUGAGAGUCAGCCAUUCAAAUGAAUUUCAAUGGGGCGAGCAAAACUGGACCAGUGCAUUAGGCUGUCUCUUGCCGAUAUGGAUAGGAAUGAAUCACUGUUGAUUGCUGCAUCAUAUUUCUGGUCAGACACACUUAAUGCUUUUGUUUUCGGCCAUGGCCCUGCUUCUCCCACUCUUGCCGAUGUGCUUAUGCUCACUGGAUUAGAUGUAUCCAUUGCCGAUAGUAGUCACAUAUUUGACUCCAAACCUAACGCUAAGGUGGAAACUCGCUCUAUCGGUGGUUGGUCUGGAUACAUUCAGAAGUACCGUAGAACAGGGCCUGUCAACAUAAAGGAACAGACUACCUUCCUGAACAUGUGGUUGGACAAAUUUGUAUUCUGCGGUCGAUCGGCAGGGCCAACCUCUGUCUACCUAUCGGCAGCAGAGAGAUUAGCUCACGGUGGCCGAUUUCCCCUCGGCCGAUACCUGCUUGGCUCUGCCUAUCACCUUCUCCACCAAGUAGCCAAGAAACUUCUGCUCGGCGAGCCCAUCGGCAACUUAGGGCGCCCUUGGUGGUUCAUCAACAUGUGGCUUAGUCUCCAUAUGCACAAACACCCGGAAUUCAACCUCUUUGCACAGUGUUUCCCCAGGGAUAUAGCAGAGGAUCAUGAGUUAGAUGAAGAAGAAUCGGCAACCCGUCCCCCAUUAAACUAUGGUGAAGAUGUCAUAGUCUUGCCUAGUACUAGAGGCAAUGGAGAUCAAGUCAGCCGAUUCUUUCAGACUCUUUAUGAGGGUCUGACCAAAGAACAGCAAGCAUAGAUGCCUUAUGAAGAUCCAGACACCAGAUUCCCUCUGACUUUUCACCCCUUCGACGAUGCUCUCAAUAAAGACCAUGAUGUGAUGAUGGAAAUUAUCACUCCAAGAGCCAUACCAAUAAACUUCUUCGGCAGUGGGAAAGCCUCCAACCAGACCUAUGAAUUCUACAACCCAUCGGCACUAGCUCGUCAACUAGCUUUCGAUCAGCUGCCAAUUGCACUUUGUUAUGCUGAUGUGAUAAAACCUAGGGAAACCAUUACUAGUCUUCUCGAGUGGACCAGAAUAGCUCAACUGCCACCAAACGCCGAUACAGAUGCCGAUCUAUGAGAUUGGAUCCUGGCCCUCUUCAUCACUCAGGCAUACAAACAAUGGUGGGAAGAAUGGAAAGAGCACCUAUUCUGCAGAUCGGCUCUUACAUACCGUGGCAUGAUUGACCCUCAAUACAAAGUCCCCGAUAACACUGUAAGUAUAUUUAAACCGAUGUUUCAAUCCUUUCACUUUUACUUCCAUCGGUAACUCACUUUCUGUGUUAUAUUAUAGGUUGAUAAUACACCCCCAUUGGUCAGCAGGAGUGGUAAGCCGAUUGAGCUCCUUCUAUCGGGUCCGAUUUCUUUGAUUGGCAACAACGCUCCAACCCUGGCUGCCAUAAUGCAUCGGGGUGUGCAUCUCAAGAAAGUUACCACCAAGCGGGCGAAGAUAUCCCCAUCGGUAGCUGCCUCUACCCUAGCACAAGCCUUCAAGGUAAAUUUUCGAAUUCUUCUACUCAUACCGAUUAUAUUCUUAUACUUAUUGGACUUGUACUCAUAAACUUCUCACUGUUGUACUAGCACACCGGUACGUCGACAAAAACCAUAAGUAUGACUGUCGAUGCACCCCAGUCCAGUCAACCGAAGAGAAAAGAUACCAAGAGUACCAGAUUACAAGCAAAAUGCUAGAGAACAACGACGCCUUCUCCUCCCCCAGUAUCUCCAAUCCUAGUAGAAUCAUCCCCUUCUUCUCCAGAAACCCAGACUCAGCAGAUUCCAUCUCCCCCUCAAUUACAAGAAGAACCCCAAGUGGAAGAACUCCAGCCAGAGGUACCUCAGCCAGAAGAAAUACCGACUGAUGUACACGAGCAGACCACCGAUCCAGCAAGCCUAAUCAUAGCAUCGGUAGUCUCCUCGAUUCAGACAAGCACUGCGCCCCCUCAAGGCAAUAUACUUUCCAUUUACUGCCGAUGAACCUAUUUUUCCACUUUACUAAUCACUUCUGUCAAUAUUUCAGCUGACAUAGUUUCAUCGGCGAUUCCAGCCGAUCAGCCCGUGGUUCCAUCGGCGUCAUCUAGUUAGAGGCGAGAGAUGGCCCUGAAACAAGUAAGUUACCCAAUCUUUAUCUGUAUUGUUUAUCAAUGCUUGAUCAUAGAAUAACUCAUUUUAUUUUUCCUUUUCAGGAACAGGACUCUCCUGACAGCCUGUUCUCCUUUGCCAUCGACAUCUCUGAAGAUGAAGGCGAGGAGGCAAGUUCUUCACGAGCUAUUGGAAUCUCAUAGGCAGAAAUCAGAGCAAAGUUAGAAGAAUUGUCGGCCCUCCUUCAUCAAGACACGGCCCAAUUGGUCGACGACUCAGAUCCAGCCAAGGCCUUGUUCAAGACUCUCAGAGGUCAAAUCCCUGCCGAUGCCGAUGAAGUCCUUUUUUCAGGCUGCACACUUAGAGAGUCGUCAGCUGCAGUAUCAAAAGGCUGCCCAACGUCUUGCCGAUAGAGCUGCUCACGCUCAACUCUCAGAGGAGAUGAUGAAAGUGAAGCUCCUUGCCAAUGAGAAGCAUAAGAGCAUCAGCAUCCUAAAAUCCUCAGGAGACGUACUGAAACAGAAGAUCUCUGAUCUAUCAGCGAGAAGGGAAGCUCUGUUGGCUGAACUUAGACAAGUGGAAGAAGCUCUGUCCCAAGCCCAAUAGGAAGAAAGUCAACUCUCUGAAGCAAUCAAAACUCUUGAACAAGAGCGAAACACCCAGGCUCGUAAAGCACUGCAGAUGAAGAAGAAAUUGAAACCAGUUGAGGGCUCUGCCGAUGAUGACAUGAAGGAAAUAGAAGAAGCCAACCAGAUCCGUCUGCGCGCCAUAUCGACGAUCCAGGCUUUGUUAAACAUAUGAAUUCCUCAUCAGCGGCACACUUUGCUCUUUUCUCUUAAUUAUUUUGGUCUAGCCGAUAGGACUGUUAUCGGCACCUUUUUAAGACACUAAGUCCGGCCCCAGACACAGUUUAAUCCAGCCGAUAGGAAUGAUAUCGGCACUUAAACUUUUAUGCAUCGACCCAUAUGCUCGGGUAAUAUUUCUUUAGAUAUUUGCCAUUUAAUGCCCUGGGAAAUUCAACUCCUUCGAGAGUUUCUAAGAUAUAGGCGUUGCCAGGAGCAGAUCGAUUUAUCUGAUAGGGACCCUCCCAAUUGGGAGACCACUUCCCAAAUUUUGAACUUUUAGUCCCGAUCAGUAAGACUAGCUUCCAUACUAAGUCUCCAUCGGCAAACUCCUUAGCCUUUACCUUCUUAUCAUACCAUCUGGCAACUCUCUUCUUAUUCUCUUCUAUACUCAUCAAAGCCCUUAGCCGAUGCCCUGCUAGAUCAUCCAACUCGUCUAUCAUCAAAGUAGUAUAAUCAUCGGCAGUCAAUUGAUCUUGAAAAGAUAGUCGCCUAGACCCAGUCUUAAUUUCCGAAGGUAACACUGCAUCAUGUCCAUACACCAACUGAUAAGGUGAAACUUUGGUCGACCCAUGAUAAGCCAUCCGAUAUGACCAUAAAGCUUCAUUCAACAACGUAUGCCACCUCCUAGGAUUUUCUUCAAUCUUUCGUUUAAUAAGCUUGAUAAUUCCUUUGUUAGAUGCUUCGGCCUGCCCAUUAGCUUGAGCAUAAUAAGGAGAAGAAUUUAAUACUUUAAUUCCCAUACCGAUUGCGAACUCAUCAAACUCCCCUGAUGUAAACAUAGUACCCUGAUCGAUAGUAAUUGUUUGAGGAAUUCCAAAUCGGUAAAUAAUAUGCUCCUUCACAAAAUCAAUCAUAUUGGCCGAUGUAACUUUCUUCAAAGGAAUAGCUUCAACCCAUUUGGUGAAAUAAUCGGUGGCAACCAAGAUAAACUUAUGUCCUUUGCUGGAUGGCGGAUAAAUCUGGCCGAUCAAGUCAAUAGUCCAUGCUCGGAACGACCAAGGUUUGAUGAUAGGAUUCAUGGCCGAUGCGGGUGCCCUUUGAACAUUACCAAAUUUCUGACAUCCUUGACACCCCUUGAAAUAUUUAAAGCAAUCUUCAAGUAUGGUUGGCUAAUAAUACCCAUUCCUCCUAAUCAUCCACUUCAUCUUAAAAGCCGAUUGAUGUGCUCCACAUACUCCUUCAUGGAUUUCCCCCAUUAAACUUUUAGCCUCAUCAUUACCUAAGCACCUGAGAAGAAUCCCAUCAAUGGUUCGAUAAUAUAAUUCAUCUUCAAGGAGCACAUACUUGGUGGCUUGAAACCGAACACGUCUCUCAACUUUCUUGGACGGAUCCUUUAAAUAAUCAAUGAUUUCUUUUCUCUAAUCACCGACACUGAUUGCCGAUAUUGCGUUUAACAUGGGCUGAUAUCCCGAGGCAUGCUGAGCCAACCGAUUGGCCUCUUCAUUAUGCAACCGAGGAUCAUGCUCUAAUUGGAAAUCCUUGAAUUCCUUUAACAGCUGCAUACUUUUUUCAUAGUAAGUUAUCAAGACCUCGCUUCGGCAUUCAUAGCUUCCAGCCAAUUGAUUUAUAACCAGCAUAGAAUCUCCGAAGACUUCAACAGCGUCAACAUGGACUUCUCUUAGCAAUUCCAACCCCUUUAUCAAAGCUUGAUACUCGGCUUGAUUAUUCGUUGACGUGGCAACAAUCGGCAAGGAGAACUCAUACUUCCUCCCCUGAGAGGAAAUUAACACUAUAGCGAUUCCUGCCCCCCGGUCACACGUGGAUUCAUCAAAGAAGAGCGCCCAAGGUACAAUUUCCAGAGUCUCCACUGUACCGCAAUGUUGAGUUACCAAAUCGGCCAUAAUGUGCCCCUUAACUGCUUUAGCCGAUUCGUAACGCAAAUCGAAUUCCGAUAGUGCCAAAAUCCACUUACCGAUCCUACCACUCAUAAUCGGCAUAGACAGCAUAUAUCAUACCACGUCAUCUGGUCUCAGCAUCGAUCAAUCUCCUGAUUAAAUAAUAAAUCACACGUUCCUUCCCUUCAAAUUCUUGAAAUAAAGCCGAACCGAUGACCAUCCCAUCGGUAGACAAAUAUAACCUCAAGGGCUUUCCUUGCUGAGGUGGAAUCAGAACUGGAGGAUUUACCAAAUAAUUCUUGAUUUCAUCUAAAGCCAACUGUUGCUCCUUUCCCCAUACGAACUCUUGAUCGGCUUUCAAUCUGAGUAAAGGACUGAAAGCACGAAUUUUACCAGACAAGUUACAUAUAAAUCUCCUGAUAAACUUUACCUUGCCGAUCAAGGACUGGAGCUCAGUUUUGUUGGUAGGAGCAACUAUUUUAUUGAUAGCAUCAAUGGAUCUCCUACUAAUUUCAAUCCCCCUUUGAUGCAACAUGAAACCAAGGAAUUGUCCUGCCGAUACGCCAAAUGCACACUUGUUAGGGUUCAUCUUCAAACCAUGCUUCCUUGUGCACUCCAACACCUUUCGCAAAUCGGCAAGAUGUUUUGUGAAAUCUCCAGACUUAACCACCACAUCAUCAAUAUAAAUUUCCACCAGCUUGCCAAUGAACUCAUGAAAGAUAAAAUUCAUAGCCCUCUGAUAAGUAGCACCAGCAUUUUUCAAGCCAAAGGUCAUGACUAUCCAUUCGAACAACCCAACAUGACCAGGACAUCUAAAUGCAGUCUUUGGAAUAUCUUCUUCAGCCAUGAAUAUUUGAUUGUAUCCUGCAUUGCCAUCCAUAAAGCCGAUGAUCCGAUGCCCAGCUGCAGCAUCAACUAGCAGAUAGGCAACUGGCAUUGGGUAACCAUCCAUCGGUGUAGCUUUAUUAAGAUUCCUGAAAUCAAUGCAAACCCGAAGCUUUCCAUUUUUCUUGUAAACUGGAACAACAUUAGAAAUCCACUCGGCAUACCGACACUGCCAAAUAAAUUUAGCUUCAAUAAGUUUGGUUAUUUCUGACUUGAUAUCAGGAAGAAUAUUAGGAUUACAUCGGCGAGCUGGCUGUUGAUGUGGCCGAAAUCCAGACUUGAUGGGUAACUGAUUUUCAACAAUUGAUCGGUCCAAACCAGGCAUCUCAGUAUAAUCCCAAGCAAAGCAAUCUUUAUAUUCCUUUAACAAAUCGGUUAACUGUUGCUUACACUCAGAAUUUAACUUAGCACUAAUAAAAGUAGGUCUAGGCUUAUCACCACUACCUAUAUCUACUUCUACCAAAUCAUCGGCCGAUGUGAAUCCCUGGCCUAAUUUUCCAUCAUCGGCGAACCUAUCCAUUAAAACUCCUGAUCAGAACCGACUGCUUGGAUCGGUGGAAUUUCAUAAUCGGCAACUUUGAGGAACUUCUUCUCCCAAACUUCUCCUGAGAUACACCUAGUUCUUUCAUAAGUGUCCGCCUCUGCCGAUGCAAUAACAUAGGAAGAAUCUCCCGGGACAAUCUCAAUCUUGUCACCUACCCACUGGACCAAACAUUGGUGCAUUGUUGAUGGAAUGCAACAAUUGGCAUGAAUCCAGUCUCUCCCUAGCAGCAGAUUAUAAGCACCUUUUGUCUCACCCUAGCAGCAGAUUAUAAACACCUUUUCCACUGAUCACAAAGAAAGUUGUCGGCAAGGUUUUGCUGCCGAUGGUCAACUCAACACAGAUUGCUCCCUUAACCGGAGAUACAUUUCCCUCAAAGUCUUUUAGCAUCAUAUCGGUCUUGGUCAGAUCCUGAUCUCCUUUUCCAAGCUUCCGAUAGACUGCAUAUGGCAUGAUGUUGAUAGCAGCUCCACCAUCAAUCAAUAUCUUGGUCAUCGGCUGACCAUCAACUCUCCCUUUGACAAACAGGGCUUUAAGAUGCUGCCUUUCAUUGUCGGCGGGCUUUUCAAAGAUAGUUGUCAUCGGAUCUAGAGCCAACUGAGCUAUCUGGUCGGAAAACUCCAACUCUUCAUCAUCACUGGAUGGCGCAAGGAACUCCAUCGGCAACAUAAAUACCAUGUUAACAUCUGCCGAUGGCCCUUUCCCCUUAGAAUCCGGUUAUUGCUGAUCCCCAGACUGGCCAGAGUUCUCGUCCUUGCUUAGCUCUUCUCGUCUUUCGCGCUGCAGUCUCCUAUUCUGUGUCUUAGUCAACCCUUCCGGACACCAUGGGGGAAGUGGUGACUGCCUUGCCGAUGGACGACGACGUUCCCUUGACUCCAUCCGAUGAUUAUUGGCAUCUCUGCAAAAUAUGAACUCAUCCGGAACACGCGCAUUAGCCAUCUCUUCAAGCUCCUCCUGGUUCCUGGGAAAAUAUUCAACACGAUCACCAAGCCUAUCACGCACACUGAGCCUGCCCCCAAGCUGACCAUGAACUGACGCUCUCCCCCUAAUCAUAACCAUUGCAUUCAGGGCAGUCUCUAACAGUGGGCAACUUAAUGUUCUGCUCCCAGCAAUGGAUAAAGAACGGGCAGUUCCAGUGAUCCUUGUGCCGAUUCCACUCUUGUCGGCGUCUUUCUUCUUCCCGAUGAUAGUCUUCUUGCUAGCGCCGGAACCGAUCCUCCCAUUGCUGCCAAGUCUCCCGAGGCCUCCUAUGAGUUAUCACGAUACCAGAUCAGGGAGGCCUUCCUGAGUUAGUUCCCUCUUGGAUCAAGCCUUUUCCUUUGGCAUCGGCAGCGGUAAUUUGAUGCUGAGGAUCUACCGAUGCACUCCUUUCGGCUGCUUCCGACGUCAAGACCUUGGUUUUUCCCUUGGCAUCCAACAUAUUUGUUGGGAAAGGAUGUUGAUCGAUCUUCAUCGGCUUCUGAGCUUUGGAACUGUCAAAUUUGAUUGUUCCAGAUUCAAUAGCCGAUUGCAGCUAUUGUCUAAAAACCUUGCAUUCAUUGGUGCUGUGAGAAGUUGCAUUGUGCCACUUGCAGUAUUUCAUCUUCUUUAAUUCUUCAGCUGAUGGGAUUACAUGAUUGGGUGACAAUUUGAUCUGACCUUCCUGAAGUAGAAAGUCAAAUAUCCUAUCGGCUUUGGUAAUAUCAAAUGCAAACUUCUCUGGCUCUUUAUGCCCAAAAGGACAAGACAUCGGCUUCUUGUUCUUCACCCACUCUGCCAAGCCGAUGACUGGCUCUUCAUCAGAAUCUGAGCUUGCUGCCUCGUCAACAAAUGACACCUUUUUAUUCCAAGCUCUCUUGGGUUCAAAGGGUUUGAUAUCCUGGUCGGAAAUCCUCUGGACCAAGUGACUCAGGCUCUCGAACUCUUGAGAAGUAUAUUUGUCCUUGAUAUGUGGCAACAAACCUGGAAAGCCAAAUCGACUAGCUGCCGAUCGUCCAAAACCAGACUAUAGCAUUUAUUCUUAACUUCCCGCAACCUCUGCACAAAACAUUCAACCGAUUCAUCAUUACGCUGUUUCAAUCUGACCAAAUCGGUAAUCUUCUUCUCAUGGACUCCAGAAAAGAAGUACAUGUGGAACUGCUUCUCCAGAUCGGCCCAAGUAAUCACUGAAUUAGGAGGCAAUGAUAUAAACCAAGUGAAAGCCGAUCCAGAUAAAGAUGAUGAAAACAGUCGAACCCUCAAUUCAUCCUUGUUAGUAGCUUCUCCGCACUGGAUGAUAAACCUGCUGACAUGUUCCAUAGUUGAUGUAUCAUCCUGUCGAGAAAACUUAGUAAAAUCGGGUACCUUGUACCGAUUUGGAAGUGGGAUUAAAUCAUAUGCAAGAGGAUACGGUGUCCGAUAAGAGUAAGUGUUGACUUUGGGUUUUAUCCCAAAUUGGUCCCUCAUUACUUCAGCUAUCUUAUCAGCCCAAUAAGCAUCGGCGUCUUGCCGAUGGGGUAGUUGUGGAUCUGGCACCUGCUGAUAAACCUCCACGUGUCGCUGAGGCGCAUGAUCUGCAUGGAACAUAGGGUUGAUCAUCUGACCACCAAACUGUUGACCAAGAUUCAUCGGCUGGUUGACCAUCCCUUGAUUAUGGAACCAAGGUUGGAUCUGGCCUUGUUGAAACCCUGUAGCCUGAUGAUUCUGUUGGGGCAUUUGUGGAAAGACUUGCUGCCCAUGCCAUCCACUAUUAGCAUUCAUCGGCAUAGGUCCUGCCGAUGACUGAUAAUUGGGCAUCAUCAUUGAAUUGACAUACCCUGGCUGAGUCAUAAACCUCUGUUGCGUCGGCAUUGAAUCUGCCGAUGCAUUAGGCAUCUGGAACGUUGGAGCUUGAGAAUUCCUAGUGUAAGGUCUCGCAGUAGUAGUUGUAGUAUACUGGGGACUCUGAUUCAUUGGCAUAUUUGGAGGUGCCGAUGCCAUAGGAGCCUUGCCUCUCAUAUCAACCGUUUGAGAUGUACUUGGUGUCUUCAACAUGAACUCUGGGGGCAUACCAAAACCCCACCAAUUGGGAGGAACAGAUCCCGACAUUGCUGAUGCCAGUAGAUCCGUAGUAAGCUUGAUCUGUUCAUCUGACGUUGAGGGAUUGGUUGUCAUCGGCGUAGAUUGUGCGUUAGUGACUCCUAACGUGCUUGGAGGAACGGUAGUUUCUUUACCCGCAGCGGCUGUAGCAGCCGAUGGAGCUGUGACCACUGGUCACCCCGACUGAUGAUGAGAAGGACCAACAUAAUUUGGUGCCAAUUGUCCUUCUUUGAAAGUUCUAGCCACGGCAUUGAAAACCGUAUUGGACAGCGCACCAGCUUGAUUGAUCAAGGCACGGUUAACAGCACUAUCAACCAUGUCUUGAAGUUUACCAGGAUUGGCUUCAAAAGUAACCUGCCGAGGCAUCGGCAGUGCUUCCUUCUGGAUCACCUCGCCACUCCUGUUUAUGCUGAAGGAUUUCAAACAUUGCUGAUUGUAAUCCUCCAUGGCUUUCGCAAUAGCUUGCUUCUACUCAUCUCUGAGAUUGGCUUCUGUCACGGGGAUGACGUUCUCCAAAUCAAAUUCGGUAGUCGACAUGUCGACCUUGAUCUUGAGAUUGUCCCACCAGGCGUGCCAAAAGAUGUGUUGAUGCAAAAGCUGGUCUGCAAACACAAAGGGCUAAUACCCGAUUCAAACGUUAAGGCGUGCCAGCCGAUUUGACCUUACUAUCGGCAAAGGUGAUAACUCGAAUACUUUGGUCCCGACAACAGUGAUGCGCCCGGAUGUCACGACCAAGAGGUAUUCACGCGGAACUCGAGAAUACGCCGAGCUUAAGUCGACGAACUCCUAAGAACUCGUAGUAAAAAGGAAAAUAUGACGAAGUCGUCGAAAAAGUAGAUGCUAGAAUAUGAGUAAAAACUUGUGUUUGAUUGAUUGAUAGAUUUUUCAUUACAAAGCCCUAGGUUCUACAUUUAUGCUCUGCUCAAAGAGCUACAAUCAGACACGACUAGGACUCGAAUUCCAAAUUAAACAGAAUCCGUAUACAAAACGAAUUUAAAUAUCUAUGGAAAACAUAAAACUAUCCUCCCGUGACAAACCGGGACACCACCAUAGAUCAAUGGGUAACCUUCAUGUCCUCCUUCCGAGUCAUCGGCAGACUUCUCAUCAUAGCCAUCGGCAAAGACUAACGCUGACCAUCGGCACGAAGGCGUCACCACUUCUGGACUUAGUCACAUUCAGCUGUCUCUCCAUCGGCAACCAUCGUCCAUCGGCAACUCCCCUGCAGACCAGUUACUGUUGCCCCAUCUUGUCGAUCUAUACUUUACCGAUCCCUGGGUACGUGUCCAAAAACGGUGUCAACAGAAGCCAAACCCAACGCAUUCGCAGCGCCCAACUAAGAGUUUUCAAAUCAGAAAUCCCCAAUCCGCCCAGCUCAGGUGGACGGCAUGCCUUGCCCCAAGCCACAAGACAAUGUCCUCCUUUUGCUUCCUUUCUUCCUCUCCAAAGGAAUCCACGUCUGAUUUUGUCCACAGAUUUGAUAGCCCAAGGUGGUAAGUCAAUGGCCAUUAGGAGGUAAACUAACAUAGCGGUGAGCACAAACUGAACCUGCACUUUCCUUCUUGCUUUUGUCAUGAGGUCCGCUUUCCAUCCUCGCAAUUGGUCAGCAAUUUUAUCAAUAAUAGGCUGAAUCUGUCCUCUAGUUAGCUUCUUAAGUGAAAGAGGAAGGCCCAAAUAGUUGCAAGGGAAAGCUGAAAUUCCACAUGGCAGCAGGUUCUGGAUGAUAGCAAUUUCACUAUCGCCACACCUUAUGGGCAAAACAUUGCUUUUUUGGAGGUUUGUUUUCAGCCCCGAAGCAUCACCAAAAAGAUUAAGGAUUUCCAUCACUAAAAUAAUGUCCCCAGCUUCUGGCUUAAGGAAUAACACUACAUCGUCAGCGUAGAGAGAAAUUCGAUGUGGCAGUACUCUCCUAGACAGGGGCUGUAGAAACCCUUCAUUGGCUGCCCUUGAAACCAUGUGGCUCAGAACGUCCAUAACCAAGAUAAAAAGCAUGGGUGAUAGGGGAUCACCUUGGCGCAGACCUCGUUGGUGAACAAUAGAGUUUCCUGGGAUCCCAUUUAACAAGACCUGAGUAGAUGCGGAUGCCAAAAGCCCACUGACUAGGUCCCUCCAAACUGGCCCAAAGCCCAUAUGUUGCAUAACCUCAAGGAGAAAAGGCCAUGACACCGAGUCAAAAGCUUUUGAUAUGUCUAAUUUAAGAAGAAUUCGUGGUUGUUUCUGUUGAUGGAGAAAUCUUGACGUUUGCUGGACCAACAUGAAAUUAUCCUGAAUGAACCGCCCUUUGAUAAAGGCACUUUGGUUGGGGGACACUAAUUGAUGCAACCGGCUCGCCAGGCGAUUAGCCAACAGCUUUGUGACUAAUUUGGCAAAGCUAUGUACUAGACUAAUUGGUCUGAAAUCUUGUGGUCGUUCAGCAUGAUCCACUUUAGGAAGCAAGGUGAUCAGAGCAGUGUUGAGGGUGUCAAAAUUGACAAACUUUCUGCACCAAACCGCUGAAACUGCAGACAUGAUGUCCUCCUUUAUGAUUGACCAGCAGGACUUAUAAAACCUUCCCGUGAAGCCAUCUGGCCCGGGCGCUUUGUCUGGGGGUAGCUGCUGUAUGGUUCUCCAUACCUCUUCUGAAGUAAUUGGGAUAUCCAGGUCUGUGAGGUCGUGAGAAGCCAGACCCAAUUCAGUGAGAUCAACCGUGUUGGCCCUAUCCACAUGUGUACCCAGCAGACUGCUAUAGAAAUUCUCAAUGAUGGAGGCUUUGUCCUCAUGAUUUGUGUAGAUCUUAUCAUCAACAAUCAAUUUUGAGAUAAAAUUUUUCCUCUUUCUAUGACGGGCAUGCUGCUGAAAAAGUUUUGUGUUAGCAUCACCAUCCUUUAGCCAGUUGAUCCUAGAACGCGAUCUGGCAAUAGUGCGCUUCAGUGAAGCCAAUGCGAGGCUGUGUUUUUUAAGCAUAUUCUUCAACCAAACUUCUCCUGCAGCAAGGGCACGACUAUCUUGUGCAAUUUCAAGCUGUUGGAGAAUUUCCUUCUCUAGGACAAGUUGGGAAUUUAUAUGUCCAACAUUUUUGUCACUCCAGCUUUGCAGCCCUCUUGAAACUGCCUUUAGUUUUCUGUCCAGAGUAAUGAAAGGACAUGGUCCAGCUGCAAUAGAAUUCCAUGCCUCAGAAACUACCUCCUGGAAGCCAUCAAGUUUGGGCCAGAAGGUUUCGAAAUGAAAACGCCGGCGACCAAGUUUGUUAUCUCGCAGUCCAAGCAGGAGUGGACAGUGAUCUGAACCAUUUGAAGACAUGCUCUGCAAUAAACUCUUAGGAAAUAAGUCCUCCCAGUCCACCGAACAUAGGACCCUAUCAAGCCUAACUAAAGUAGGGGAAGACUGCUGAUUCGACCAAGUGAAUUUGCGCCCGUGGAGAGGGAUAUCUUUAAGAGCAAGAUCAUUAAUAAAACGCCUAAACCGACCCAUCAAUGCCCUAUUAUAGUUGGUGUUAUUCUUGUCCUUAUCUUUAUAUAUCAGAUUAAAAUCCCCAACUAUAACCCAUGGUCCAUGACAAUUAGCUCUGAUAUUACGGAGUUCCUGCAAGAAUUGAAUCUUUUCUUCAUUUCCUUGUGGCCCAUAAACACAUGUAAGCCACCAGGGCUGCCCACCAUCCGAAGAAAAUUGCAAGGUCACACUGUGAUUAUCUACUCUUUUAGCACCAGUUACAGCAAUAUGUCGCCGCCAAGCUACCAGUAUUCCUCCACUGGCACCAGCCGACGGGACGUCGAUGAAAUCAGAAAAAUCUGGGCCAAGAGCUGAUAGAAUUACCCUUCUUGUUACUGCCAUCAUUUUAUUUUCUUGGAAACAAACAAUAUCUGAAUGAGUUGAGUCAACUUCAGUGCGAACUGAGUUCUGCCUGCCCGAAGAAUUGUGGCCUCUCACAUUCCAGAUCAAUAUUUUUGAUGGAUCCAUUGACAGUAGUAUAAAGAAUGACCACUAAAAAUUGACACCCAAUAUAUCCACUUAGUUUAAGAGCUCAAAACCUCCACAAUCCAGGUCAAGAUCAGCAGGGAGAAUCCAAUUGAAAAGAGCAGACAAAGCACGAAUGUGAGACUCACAUAGGGGCUGACCGAACAGCUUUGCAUACUCAUCGAGUGCUUGCUGAUCAAUGCCUUCAUGCUCAUCAAUGAUGUCCAGUGCUUGCAUUGCCUUCUUCUUCAUUCUUCUCUCCAAAUCUUCAGGUCCAAAUUCAGCCUUCUUCUUGACACUUUACCAGGUGGGAGUGAGCUUCUCUUUUUCUUGUUAGUUCGAGGGACAGGGAGCAGCCCAGUUGCACGGCGGGCUAAUUUGUUGAUGAAAUCUGUCGCGCAAGACGGUAUGGCUGCACCUGUCCUUGGCGAGCCUAUCACUUCCGAGGCCAGAGAAGAAAAACAUGGUCCAUCAACGGCCAACGGAGUCCCAGACUGGACUAACACGUCAGCCACCGAGGGAGAGACAGCGCCAACCGGACUUGAGCAGUCGUGCCGCUGCCUGCGAAGCCGCCGCCGUGAGUAAACCUGAAGGGGCCUUGCAGCUGCGCUCUUCCGCAUUGGAGGAGUCUUUAGGAGCUCGAACUCCGGGAUACUGGAAGAGAGGGGGGAGCGCCCUGGGGUGUUUUGGGAGGCCGGAGUAGGACUUCCAUCCGUUGCCGCGCCGACAGGAGAGUUCUGGGAGGAAACCCUCACUGUCGACCGGCCGGGGGAGGUCCAAGCCGUAGCGUCGCCCAAGCCCACCAUAGGCAUCUGCCCAAGAUCGUGGACAGCACCACAAACAAGUCCACCAGGAGGCAUGUUCAGUUGUUCAUCACAGACUGCAGCAGCCGAAGGCCCAGGGCCAACAUGGGUUGCUGAAAUGGGCUUUGAGAGUGGAAGUGGCCCAGAAACUUCAUCAAUCUGGAAGCGCAUUAGAGUUGGGGAGGUCACAGAUGGGAUCACAGUAGAUUGGGGCUGUUCAACUCCAACAGAUGACUCAUUAAGGGGCUCCGACUCCUCGAUAUCUGCAGGUGCCGCAACCACCACAUUGAUAUGGGCAGAAGGGGCCACGCCUGGGGAGAGCCCCUCCGCUGCUUCCUCGGUUCCAAGCGCGUCAUUAGCCGUAGCCGUACCUAGGGAGGCCCCCUCCGCCGCUUCCUUGAUUGCAUGCGCGACGUUAGCACCGCUUGGGGCAUCCCGCCGCGAAUCUUCCUCCUUGGUCCCCGUGUUCGCCAUCAGAGAGCGGGUGGACGCUUCACGGACAGAAGGCCCACCUUGAUCAGAUGACUGACCCCUCUGCAGGCAAGCCUGACCAACAGCGCUCAAACACCGUGCGCCAGGCGGAGGCGAAGUGGAACGGGCGCGCCGUUUGCGUUUUCUUGGGUCGUCGUCUUCAUCCUCUUCAUUAUCACCAUCAUCAGAGGAGGGAGGAGAGCCCGGAGCUGGUCCAGCAGGGCGGCGGACCUGACUGAACCUUAGUUUGAUAGGAUAAGCCAGCAAUCUUUUAACAUUUGGUUCUUCAGCGCUAACCAUUAGUGGCUCAGCAACCCAAAGCUCCUUUUCAAGGGGGAGACAAGAAGGGUUUACACUCCAGACCAAGCACCGAAACACUGAAAGUUCAGUAAGGGCUAAGGUGUCAGGGUGAACUUGCUGAACCUAGGCAUAUAGACUCAGAAAACGGUCCACCGUUGUAGUCUCCCAGACAUGGGCAGGGAUGCCUCGGAGCUCAACAUCAAGGAGGAAUGGCAGAACACGUGUAUGAGCUCCUGUGGAACACCGUGCGCCAGGCGGAGGCGAAGUGGAACGGACCUAAGGCCGGACCCCAGGGCCCUGCACAGGAGCCCAUCCCACCGUCUUGAGCAGCCCCUUUCCCAACAACUUGUUAUGUGGAAAAGCCACCUCCUUGCAUCAUCGACUGGAGCGACCAAAUUGCUGAAGCUGUUGAUGACUUUUCUACUGCAAUUGUGGUGUCUGUUAUUGGGGAGGAGCCCCUGGCUGCGGCGGAAGAAGUGGCAAUGAUGAUUGCACCUAGAAUUUCAGUCGAUGCUAGCUCCUUAGUGCUGCGUCGUGCCUCGCCAUCAAGCUAUCUGCUGAUCCUCCCCGACAUGGCUCUGGCUGAUCGUAUAAUGGGACUGCAGCAACCAAUCCGGUCGUCAAGUUUCAGUUUCAGCCUGCUGUGCAAGCGUUGGAAUCCUCUGGGACAACCUGUGGGUACUGAGGCGUCGGCGCUGAACCCGUCGACGCGUGGGGUGCAGGCGCAGGUGGUGCAGGCGCAGGUGGAACUGGAGCGGCGGUCUGCGGGAUCGGUACCGCCACCGGAGUAGGCGUUGAAGGUGUAGGCGUAGGAGACCCCGUGUCCAUAGUCUCCUCCUCCUCGCCGCCACCAGAGGCGACGACAUCGGGCUCAGGUACAGGUGCUGGUGCAGGUACAGGUGCAGGUAAUGGUGCUGGUGCUGGUGCAACUGGCGGAGCCCGGGCGGCAGUGAAGAGGGCACGGUACGCGGCUGCGCUGCGACGAGGCAUCUAUAAAUUUUAUUUUAAGAAUUAGAAUCAAUAUGUGUACAUAAAUAGAACAGUGGGUAAGAAUAUAUAAUUUUAAUAAAAUAACAAGAAAGUAAAGUAAGCAGUGAAAUAAAUAAAGCGAAAAUAAAAACCCUAAAAUCGACUGUUUCUACCUAGGUUUGCGUCCUACAGUCAGCCUUGCUUUGAUACCAAUUUGUCACACCCAAAUUUAAGUAUAAAUUUGAGUACAAUAAACCUCAUGUGCGCCCCAGGAAUAGUCGCGCACACCAGUCGACAAAUUACGAAUGUAUCAUCACAAGUGUCUUACAUAACGUUAUUACAACACAAAUAUAUCAAAGUCUGCGACAAACCGGAAUAAAACACAUAAAUAGCUAAGCUUGGUGGCUCCAAUCACAGGGACGACUGACUGGUGGAUCGCCAACCUAGAAGUCCUCAGGGAAUUCUUCAUAGUAGCUUUCAUCUGUUACCCAUCCGGGAUUUUGUCCAAAAAGAAAUAUAGAGACAAGCAUGAGUACAUCUCGUACUCCGCAAGCAUAACAUAGGAUUUUAUGCGGCUCAAUAAGGUCAGACACUGGUUACUGCAGUUAGCAUUUUAAUUGGUCAAUGUUUUAAUCCUAUUUAAUCAUAAAUUAUGCUUAAGCUCUCGAUUAGCCCACAUGAGUACAUGAUAAUAACACCGUUAACCUUCACGGCUAACACCAAUCCACAUUAAUCAUCACGAUCAAUGCGUCAGAUUUUCAUAAGUCAUUCCCCCAUAACCAUCCACACCCAACUAUUCCGUAAGGGUCCAAGGCCGCUCAUGUCCGAGAGCACGGCUAGUAUACCAGUUUGAUCAAACUCUGCCCAGAGGUGUGCACUUUUCCAAUAAGUCGUGUUACCCAUAUGCCCGGGGUUUGCAAGACCCACUAACACUGUCAAGGUGAGCGGGCAAGGAACACUAUGAAGCCUUCCAUAGGCCACGUCUAACCAGUUAGGGCCGUGAGGUUUUCUCGGCAGGCAGAUAUAGAGAACCCCCUUUCCUAUGGCACAUUUCCAUCACGGCUAUACACAUAGGAACAGAAGCAAUUCUAUACCUAAAGUGGCAAGCCCCUCUUGCGCCCUUUUGGGUAACCUCUAACCAGCUAGAUGAGAUCCUACUACUGAGCUAAAGUUAGAGCCAUAUAACCAUCAUGGUUGCACUGUAAGUCCCGAAUAGUCGCUUACAGAGAAGUCCUUACGGAGGGUCUAGGUCAACCUGACUGAAGACAAUUGCACCAUAGCCCUUUUCCCAUCAUUUGUCAUCACAUUCAUUAAGGUCAGAGUGAUAGUAAAGUCUCAAUUAAUUAAAGCACUAGCAGAGCUACCCACAUGCAUAGUACCCAUAGGUGUCAUAAAUAUAUAUUCAGGUAGCUAGGAUGUCCUUAGGGUUAUCAAAAUUAGACACAUGUAGAUGCGUAAUUAAUUAAGUGAAUAGGUGUACAAGGGAAACCCAUGUUAUACUUGCCUUCGGUGAAGGGGAACUGCUGCUGGUCCUGCUGCUCCUCGGAGUAAAAGGGAUCACCCACGGACACGUCACCGUCUGCGCUCGAUCGGUACCACACAACAACACGCAUUCCAAGUUCAAUCAUACAAGCAAACAAUCCCUUAGUUAGAACAGUACACCAACAGAUCAAAAAUUAAAUAAAAUAUUUAAAAACAGAACCUACGUUACGCUACGAUCACAUAGAUACGAAGAUCACGAAAAUCAGAGCUAAAACGACCAAGUUACGAAUUUACGGUGAUUUCCUAUAGGCAUUUAAUUAAUUAAACCUAACCCUGAAAAUAAAAAGUGGCAAACUACAUAAACAGUGGCUCUAACACAUAGAGAAUUUAAUUACGAAUCCAACGCAAUUUGAACGGGUCAAAUCGGAGCUAAAACAAAUCUUUUAUGGCCAAAACAAUGCAGUGGCAAUCUUGUAAAUAAAGCAGGUUUAAACGAAUUUAAAUAAAUAUAGAAAUUCUAGAAUUUCUCUGGCCGAGGACUGCGGGCACAAAAUCACAAUUUUUUGGGGACUCUUUAGCAAAACUGACCCGCGAAGGGGUACGGGCUCUUCUCGGCCGUUGAUCUCGCGAUGGACGGCCGAGAUUAGACCGCAAAGAAGAGAGAGGGGGGGGAGCGGCGCGCCGGCCGGAGAGAAGGAAGGAGGCGGGGGGCGCCAUUGCGGGCUGGCCAAAACUCGCCGGAGCUCGCCGCGAGAGAGCUACGGGGCUCGGCUUUCGAGCCUAAGGGCACUAGGAGAGAGAGGAGACUAACGCGAGUCCACCCAUGCCCUCUGCGAGGCCGGGGGUGCGCCCGCGCGACAUGCUCCAUGGCCGGCGGCCAUGGAGCUCGCCGGAGCUCGCGGCUGGGGGGCUUGGAGGCACAAAACAACAAAAGAUUCGGUCGAGAAGAAUGCGGGGAGGGUGGGGAAGCUCACUGGCGUGACGAAAACAGCGAGGAUGGCCCGGAACGGCGAGCAUCGCGCGGCCGACGAAGAACUUCUCCGGCGACGGUUCUCUCUGCGCGCACAGGAACGAAACCGAGGCGAAAAGAGGGGGAAAAUGGGGAGGGGAAAGAGGCACACGGCUCUCUGCCCACUUCUUAUCCGAGCGUGGGGUAGAGGAGAAGAUCGUGGUGGAGCGGGGUGCGGCUUGGCGGUUUUAGCAGAGAGAGGGAGAAUCUGGGCGGGCGGUUGGAGGAAGGGGAAAGACCUGACGGGUGGGCCCCACCCGUCAGCCGCCAGAGAGAGAGAGGGGGAAGGGAGGGGGAGCCGGCUGGGCCGCGGCCCAGGAAGGGUGCGCGGGGGGGGGGGGGAAAAUCUGGGCCAAAAGGCCGAAGAGGAGGAAGGGGAGAAAUUCCAUUUCUCUCUCUUUUUUUUAACAUAUUUUCCAAAUGCAUUUCAAAUAUAGGUUUGUUGACGGUCCUUAAUGCACACAUUUAACCAUCAACUAAUCAUGGAAAAGGAUCCAAAUGUAACCAACACCCAGACUUAGGGUUUUAUCUGACAGAAUUCCACGAGUUUUGGUGUUUGUCGAUUUCUGCAGGGGGUUAUCAGGAAAUACGGAAGAAAGACCCACACGUCGGGAUUACAUAGAGAUAUUAAAGUGCCGCGCAAUUUUCUAUCAUCUAGAAGACUCCAGAAGCCACGGGAACGAACGGGAGGCCGAGCGGGCCCGGAGGCAGGGCGCCCGCCCUACCCCCCUGGGCGCCCGCCCUCCUCUGCUGGCCAAUCAGCACGAGUCUCGGGGAUUAUGCCCCACCGACUCUAAGGAUCGAGGAAAAUCACACGAUGAAGGUCGGUUUGAUCGGAUGGUGGAGAAUAACGUGGAAAUUCCUUGGGAGCUACUCUUCCUAGAUUUCUUGGGAGCUACUCUUCCUAGAUUUCUUAGGGGCUACUCUUCCUGGACUAUAUAAGCAGACCCCCACCAGCCCCUGGAGGCAUACCUCUUCUACAGAAUCAAAGUUAGGGUUUCAAUUCUUCAUCCAAGUAGAGAGGAUCCCUCUAGUUCUUCUAGUUCUACUUCUAGUUCAUCUAGAUCUAGUUCUAGUUCAUCUAGUUCUAGUUCUAGUUCUAGUUAGUUCUAGUUGUAAUCUAGAAAAUAGGGAGAGAGAAGAGGAGAGCGGAGGAGGAGCCGGAUCUGUCGGAUCUUCCUCAACAUUGUACUUUUGCAGCAACUGGUUCGUCCUUCAUCGUUCUCCAGGUUCUUCAACUCAUAAUUCCUGAGUUCUUUAAUUACUUUUAUUUACAUUCAAGUUAUUUAUUGGAUUCCCGCUUGCAUCAAGUGCUCUAGUCUUUAUAACGCUAGAGUAGUAAUUAAUAGAUUAGACGUGGUGUUUAGUCUUGCGAUUACCUAGAAUUGCACCCAAUCCUACGGAUUGUUGUGGUAGCCUUAGGGUAGUGACAGCCCUAACGGUCGAUGUAUUCCACCUCGUUCGGAUCGGUGUUUGUAGGACCGUAGUCAGACCUUCCUAGCCUCCUUCUCAUCUCUUUCUGUGGUUAGUGCUCUGAUGUCCCGAUAUAGAUAAUCUUGAUGUAAUUCUUGAUUCUUAGAUCAACUAGAGAACUCUCAGGAAACUUCCUCUCUUCCCAUCAAAAAUAAUUAUAUAGUUAUCCUUGGGCGAUCUUGGAUCUUAAUUAGUACACUCACGUUCCCUGUGGAAAAUCGAUACUCUGGAAUACUCCCGGGUGAAGGCAACAUCGGUAUCUGUGCGCUUGCAGAUUUUUCUGUUUGCGUUUAAAAUACCCAACAAGCUUUCUGGCGCCGUUGCCGGGGAACGGUAGCUAUGCUAGUUUUGAACCAAGUCGUCCGUGUAUCCUUUUUCUUUUCCUUUUCUUUUACCACACUCACCUUACCAUUUUCACCACACCACAUGGAUUUCACUCUAAGCAUUAAUGAGCAUGGAAUUUAUUUCAUUGCCACUUCAUUUACUCCAUGCUCAUAUGCAACAUCUUCACAAUCCAUUGGUCUCUCCAAGUUCACCACAUUCGAGAUCUCCAACCCCCACUUCCUUUCUAUUUAUAAAAACUUUAAAAGGGCGGUUGUCGAUGCAUAUGUCUAUAUGAAAUAUUGCAGAUCUCGUUGAGUUGGUCUUGAUAUAGGUCAGCGUUGGAGGGGAAACCACUUCGCCGACAUAAAUUGAUGGUUUCCCAAGGACAAGCUUAGUGUCCUAAAACAAGCAUUGAUCAGAUCGUAACAUGAGCUUUUAAUUAUUUACAACAUUACCUUGAGUGUUGAGCAUAUAAGGAUAAUUGUAAAAAAUUCCUUCGGGUAUUCUUGUCACUAACCUUUCCAGGAUUGGAGCAAGAAGAUCUGAUGAAUGACAAGCACAAGGUAUGUCCAACCAAUCAUCAUACAACAUUGAAUUAAAUUCAUCCAAACUUGAAUUUUGCAAAAUUUAAGCUUGGGGGAGUACUUUACAUAAAAACAUCCUUUUCCCUGUUGCUAUGUUGGUUGUCCUUACCUUUAAGACAUGCACAAUUUUGUUAAACACUAAUCACACUACUUCAUCUCCACUUGAGUAGAUCUCUAUAAAUGCUUUCAUGCUACCUUUAUUUGCUUUAUUAUAUGUCUAGGCUUGGAGUAGUUUCAUUUAUCUCUUAAUUAAGCAUGGUGCUUAGUUUAGGAAUGAUGAUCUUACUUCCAAAGGAUUUUAAAUUAAGCAUGAUGCUUAGGUUAAAAUUCCCUCCUAAAUCAAAUUAGACAUGGUGUCUAGGUUGAUCUUUGAGCCGAUAGUAUGCUAUAGUAGAUAUUGGAUAUUUUGUUGGACUAACCCCUGCAGGAAAACUUUCAAUAUCGACCUGGGAAGUCCUGAGACAAACUCACAUUGGAGACAAAGAGAGAGGCACAUGAAGUUAAACAAUUUGCACUAGGAAGGCAUAGCUCAUAAGAGAUGAUCCAUGGAGGGUGCUACAAACACGAUGCACAACCGCUAAGAAAGGAAAGCUGCCACAAGGUGAUACUGUACCAACACUCUUCAAGUAAGGUAACAUCUUAAGGUACUUCACUAUCACUUUUAUAAGCUUCUCCUUGGUUCUGGCGUUCACAUGAAUAAAAGAGACAAACAUGUAUGAUUUACAACUCUAGAUUAACCAACCCAAUUGAUUCAAUAUGUUUAGUCCUUCCACCUUUGUGAUUCCACACUCCUAAUCAUAUGAGCUAAAAUAUUGCACAUUCAAUAUUUGGAAGAUAUAAACAAAACAUAAAUAUAGAUAGAUUAUCUUUCCAUUAGGUUGAGCGAUCUGAUAUGACAAAUGCUUAAAAUGUUACACUCAUGAUCUUAUUAUCCAACUUUGUCUUGCUCACUAUGCUUAAGGUUAGAGAGAACAAAUACACUUUAGGUUCUGUUGGUGUUUUCCACCAACAGGGCCCAUGCACUUGAUCUCUGCCUUGUCUCUAUGAGCAGGUACACUUCAAGCAAAAUAUGAAGGAGUUUUACAACUCCCAGACUCCACCAAGUGAUGAACCUAGAUCUACGAGCACAAACACACUAGAGAUACUAGACACUCAGGCAAUCACUGCCCUGAGAUGCUUGAGGACGUAACUACUGGAGUAACCCCAUUGUGGAAAUAAUUACUGACCUUCUGCCGGUCAAGAGAGACAAUCCAGGACGCCCCGUCAUCCCGAUCUCCAUCGGCAUGGUGGACUUCCUAGAAGCACUCUGUGACUUUGGCUCCAGUGUCAACAUUAUGCCCAGGCUUGCAGAUCGUACGCUAAGUUUCCCAAAGGGAAUAGUGAAGAACCUCUGCGUCCGAGUUGGUACCUUGUACGCCCGAGCAGACUUCGUGGUGAUAGAGACCGGUUCUGAUGAGAGGGCACCCAUCAUUCUAGGGAGGCCAUUCCUGAACACCUCGGGAGCAGUCAUCCACGCUAGUGCUGCCAAGAUCAGUUUCUACAUCAAGGGGAUGAAGGAGACGUUUUCCUUCAAAAACAAAACUACACAAAUCUCAGAGCAAUCCUGACAUGAACCAAGGAAAGGACCAACAGGAGGAACAGGAACAAGCAAGUGUGGACCGAGUCAGCUAAGAUGGUCACUGCAGUUCAAGGAGGUCAAGAUCAUCGACUUAAGUCACCAUUCUUGACCAAAAAAGGACGACCUAGUCACCUAUCAGCUCCUAUUCAGAACCAUGCCCCUAAAACCGAUAUACAUUCAGCUCCUGAUGGCAGAUCAGACAUUCUGAAAGAUUGAAGGUUAUUGAUAUGGGAGAAGACGAGUACGAUCCACCCAUCAUCCUUGGAAGGUCGUUCCUCAGCACCGUUAAAGCAAUCAUCUACAUUGAAACCGGAGAAGUCCACAUGAGAGAGGAGGUACGCUGCUAUUUUAAUGACCCUAACUAUAUAGUUGAAGACUCUAAGCAGGUCAGGACAAGAAGAAGACAAUGCAACCGCAACCAGAGGAGGCAAAUCAUCAAGGACGGAUGGGCAAACUACGAAGGAGAAGUAGUAAGGUCUGAAGACAUACAACUUGAACAGAACUAUCCUGAGGAGACCGUAGCACCGAAUCAGGUGUGCAGAGAGAAGAUAGUUAUACAUGAAGAGGAGAAGCCGCCGGAACCACCGACUACGCCAUCCAGCGAAUCAUAGGACGACUGAGAAAACGGAGAGUCCCGUUCGGAGGACUUAAAAAUACCGAACGCCUUGCCAAGAGGUAAACUUGGUAGUUAUCUUUUCCUUUCAAUUAUUUUAAAAUAGUUUGCUUAGUUAAUCAGGUUUAUAUCAUCUUGAAAAGAAAAUAAAAAUGUUAAAAAUAGUAAGCCCCAUGUGAGUAUGCUCAUGGCAUAAAACCCAUAAGUACAUUCACUGUGGUGGCAUAAAAAUAAAAUAAAUAUAUUCCUGUCCUAUAAAAAUAAAAAUAUAAAAAUAAAUUUAUGAUCCUACUAAAGAGAGUAACAUUUAUUGAGGAGACUCAACAUGAUAAAGGCUAAAUAUUUAUGCUAACACUUAACUAGUUUCACAAAGCUUUGUUGUCUAUUUGAGCUCCACAGAAUUCAAGGAUCAAAGAAGUCUAGCAGACGGAGGACAUCCUAAUCGCUGUCAGAGUGCUGCCGACAUUCAAAUACACCUCCGCCACCUGCUAGCUACAUCAGAAGAAAUUAUGUCAAAAUCCAGCUUGGGGGAGAGCACCCCCAUUUAUCCAGCUAAGUGUUCUACUCACGUUUAUACUUUACUCGAAUAAUAAAAAGAUGCAUAAUCAUAAAAACCCAAAUAAAGAUUUUGUGCUUAUAUAUAUCUUUGCUUAGUUUGCUAAAUAAAUAAAUAAGUAAAGUUUGCUAUGAACCCUCAUGAUAAGCUCUCACAUGGAAAUGAUGAAUAGUUGCUCUGCCAUGUACCUAGUUUUCAAGUUUAAGCUUUCUCUCAAGUUUAGGCAUAACUGUUAUUAAUUAAGAUUUGCUCUAAACCUGAACUUGUGGGAAGAGUACUUGAUCUAAAGUCUAAAUCAUUAACGGAUAUGAUAUGGGAAGGUUGAGCUGCUGUUUAUCUGUUCCUAGAGAUGCUAGAAUUCUGGAGAAUUUUAUCUUUGAAAAUCUUUAAAAUAACACAUGAUGUGUUCCUGUAUGAUGAGAGUUUAAAUUCCUACCACAGCCAUAUAUAUACAUGCUUGCUAGACUUUGAGCCACUCAUUUACUUUUUACUGCUUAUGAGCAUUGAGUGUGGUCAAGCUGUGUAGACCCCUAGGAGCUUGUCAUGUGGUUAUAUCAAGAUUCACUUGCACGUUCACUCACACAUGCUACUUCUACUCCGGAAGUACCAUCCACAUAUAUCCAUUUCCAUCUCCAGAACCACCCAAAAAUAUUCUACUCCUAAUCCGGAAGAGAAUAGCCAAAAACAUUUCUGUUUUCCCCUGUGAAAUAAAUGCUCAAGUUAUCUUGUUACUACCACUUGCUAUAUUAUUUCAUGAGAUGAGUGCUCUCUAAAAAAAAGAAGAAAAAAAAAAGAAAAAAAGAGAUACGAGAAAAUAAAAAGGGGCAAGUGCCCGGAACCUCGAAAGAAAAAAAAGUGAGACGAGAGGUAAAAAUGGACAAGUGCCCGACAGUAGAACUAGGGGUACAAGAUACCCACGUGAAAGAAAAAGAAAAUAUAGAGCAUCUCAUUCUCCUUAAAAAGUUUCAAAAGAGCAAGAAAGGUAUGUAUCCCCUCAAAAGAGCAUAAGUAGAAUUAGACUUUCACCAUUGUUAUCACCAUCAUCACCAUACACCAUUCAUUCACCACACAUGCACAUCUUGAUUUGACUUAUUGACUUGUUCUUCUGGAUCCAUGGUUUGACUAUGCAAUAAAUGUUUUGUACGUAUGUAUUAGCUGUCUCCCACCUAUGAGCUCCAGAUAUCAAAACCUUAUUAGAGUAGGGUGAGAGAGAAGGCAAUACCACUAUGCCUCAUACCAAAAAUACCACAUACUUUGAGAGAAGGCAUACACCAUUAAUGCCUUGGUAAGGAUCCAGAAAUACCACAAAAGAGAGACUAGAGAGAGUCAUAUAAGGAAUCUCUGAGUUUUAUUUGAAAAUCUGCAAAAACUCCAGAGCUAUAGCUGAUCAAGAAUAAGAGACAUGGUGCUUGACUAGACCGUUCUAUCUUUUAACUACUCAAGACAGAAGUGACGGUUACAAGUCCCAUGGUGAAAGGUAAAUGAGUAAGUUUUAAGUCUUAACAGUUUACUCUAACCCAGAGAUGAUAUCUUGUUUGAACGCCUUUGUAUCUUUAAGGCAAGAAAACACUGUAGAAACUCUUGAGUUCAUCUUUACUCAGGGACGAGCAAAGGUUAAGCUUGGGGGAGCUUGUUGACGGUCCUUAAUGCACACAUUUAACCAUCAACUAAUCAUGGAAAAGGAUCGAAAUGUAACCAACACCCAGACUUAGGGUUUUAUCUGACAGAAUUCCACGAGUUUUGGUGUUUGUCUAUUUCUGUAGGGGGUUAUCAGGAAAUACGGAAGAAAGGCCCACACGUCGGGAUUACAUAGAGAUAUUAAUGUGCCGCGCAAUUUUCUAUCAUCUAGAAGACUCCAGAAGCCACGGGAACGAACGGGAGGCCGAGCGGGCCCGGAGGCAGGGCGCCCGCCCUCCUCUGCUGGCCAAUCAGCACGAGUCUCGGGGAUUAUGCCCCACGGACUCUAAGGAUCGAGGAAAAUCACACGAUGAAGGUCGGUUUGAUCGGAUGGUGGAGAAUAACGUGGAAAUUCCUUGGGAGCUACUCUUCCUAGAUUUCUUGGGAGCUACUCUUCCUAGAUUUCUUGGGGGCUACUCUUCCUGGACUAUAUAAGCAGACCCCCACCAGCCCCUGGAGGCAUACCUCUUCUGCAAAAUCAAAGUUAGGGUUUCAAUUCUUCAUCCAAGUAGAGAGGAUCCCUCUAGUUCUUCUAGUUCUACUUCUAGUUCAUCUAGAUCUAGUUCUAGUUCAUCUAGUUCUAGUUCUAGUUCCUCUAGUUCUAGUUCUAGUUAGUUCUAGUUGUAAUCUAGAAAAUAGGGAGAGAGAAGAGGAGAGCGGAGGAGGAGCCGGAUCUGUUGGAUCUUCCUCAACAUUGUACUUUUGCAGCAACUGGUUCGUCCUUCAUCGUUCUCCAGGUUCUUCAACUCAUAAUUUCUGAGUUCUUUAAUUACUUUUAUUUACAUUCAAGUUAUUUAUUGGAUUCCCGCUUGCAUCAAGUGCUCUAGUCUUUAUAACGCUAGAGUAGUAAUUAAUAGAUUAGACGUGGUGUUUAGUCUUGCGAUUACCUGGAAUUGCACCCAAUCCUGCGGAUUGUUGUGGUAGCCUUAGGGUAGUGACAGCCCUAACGGUCGAUGUAUUCCACCUAGUUCGGAUCGGUGUUUGUAGGACCGUAGUCAGACCUUCCUAGCCCCCUUCUCAUCUCUUUCUGUGGUUAGUGCUCUGAUGUCCCGAUAUAGAUAAUCUUGAAGUAAUUCUUGAUUCUUAGAUCAACUAGAGAACUCUUAGGAAACUUCCUCUCUUCCCAUCAAAAAUAAUUAUAUAGUUAUCCUUGGGCGAUCUUGGAUCUUAAUUAGUACACUCACGUUCCCUGUGGAAAAUUGAUACUCUGGAAUACUCCCGGGUGAAGGCUACAUCGGUAUCCGUGCGCUUGCGGAUUUUUCUGUUUGCGUUUAAAAUACCCAACAAGCUUUCUGGCGCCGUUGCCGGGAAACGGUAGCUGUGCUAGUUUCGAACCAAGUCGUUCGUGUAUCCUUUUUCUUUUCCUUUUCUUUUACCACACUCACCUUACCAUUUUCACCACACCACAUGGAUUUCACUCUAAGCAUUAAUGAGCAUGGAAUUUAUUUCAUUGCCACUUCAUUUACUCCAUGCUCAUAUGCAACAUCUUCACAAUCCAUUGGUCUCUCCAACAUCACCACAUUCGAGAUCUCCAACCCCCACUUCCUUUCUAUUUAUAAAAACUUUAAAAGGGCGGUUGUCGAUGCAUAUGUCUAUAUGAAAUAUUGCAGAUCUCGUUGAGUUGAUCUUGAUAUAGGUCAGCGUUGGAAGGGAAACCACUUCGCCGACAUAAAUUGACGGUUUCCCAAGGACAAGCUUAGUGUCCUAAAACAAGCAUUGAUCAGAUCGUAACAUGAGCUUUUAAUUAUUUACAACAUUACCUUGAGUGUUGAGCAUAUAAGGAUAAUUGUAAAAAAUUCCUUCGGGUAUUCUUGUCACUAACCUUUCCAGGAUUGGAGCAAGAAGAUCGGAUGAAUGACAAGCACAAGGUAUGUCCAACCAAUCAUCAUACAACAUUGAAUUAAAUUCAUCCAAACUUGAAUUUUGCAAAAUUUAAGCUUGGGGGAGUACUUUACAUAAAAACAUCCUUUUCCCUGUUGCUAUGUUGGUUGUCCUUACCUUUAAGACAUGCUCAAUUUUGUUAAAUACUAAUCACACUACUUCAUCUCCACUUGAGUAGAUCUCUAUAAAUGCUUUCAUGCUACCUUUAUUUGCUUUAUUAUAUGUCUAGGCUUGGAGUAGUUUCAUUUAUCUCUUAAUUAAGCAUGGUGCUUAGUUUAGGAAUGAUGAUCUUACUUCCAAAGGAUUUUAAAUUAAGCAUGAUGCUUAGGUUAAAAUUCCCUCCUAAAUCAAAUUAGACAUGGUGUCUAGGUUGAUCUUUGAGCCGAUAGUAUGCUAUAGUAGAUAUUGGAUAUUUUGUUGGACUAACCCCUGCAGGAAAACUUUCAAUAUCGACCUGGGAAGUCCUGAGACAAACUCACAUAGGAGACAAAGAGAGAGGCACAUGAAGUUUAACAAUUUGCACGAGGAAGGCAUAGCUCAUAAGAGAUGAUCCAAGGAGGGUGCUACAAACACGAUGCACAACCGCUAAGAAAGGAAAGCUGCCACAAAGUGAUACUGUACCAUCACUCUUCAAGUAAGGUAACAUCUUAAGGUACUUCACUAUCACUUUUAUAAGCUUCUCCUUGGUUCUGGCGUUCACAUGAAUAAAAGAGACAAACAUGUAUGAUUUACAACUCUAGAUUAACCAACCCAAUUGAUUCUAUAUGUUUAGUCCUUCCACCUUUGUGAUUCCACAAUCCUAAUCAUAUGAGCUAAAAUGUUGCACAUUCAAUAUUUGGAAGAUAUAAACAAAACAUAAAUAUAGAUAGAUUAUCUUUCCAUUAGGUUGAGCGAUCUGAUAUGACAAAUGCUUUAAAUGUUACACUCAUGAUCUUAUUAUCCAACUUUGUCUUGCUCACUAUGCUUAAGGUUAGAGAGAACAAAUACACUUUAGGUUCUGUUGGUGUUUUCCACCAACAGGGCCCAUGCACUUGAUCUCUGCCUUGUCUCUAUGAGCAGGUACACUUCAAGCAAAAUAUGAAGGAGUUUUACAACUCCCAGACUCCACCAAGUGAUGAACCUAGAUCUACGAGCACAAACACACUAGAGAUACUGGACACUCAGGCAAUCACUGCCCUGAGAUGCUUGAGGACGUAACUACUGGAGUAACCCCGUUGUGGAAAUAAUUACUGACCUUCUGCCAGUCAAGAGAGACAAUCCAGGACGCCCUGUCAUCCCGAUCUCCAUCAGCAUGGUGGACUUCCUAGAAGCGCUCUGUGACUUUGGCUCCAGUGUCAACAUUAUGCCCAGGCUUGCAGAUCGUACGCUAAGUUUCCCAAAGGGAAUAGUGAAGAACCUCUGCGUCCGAGUUGGUACCUUGUACGCCCGAGCAGACUUCGUGGUGAUAGAGACCGGUUCUGAUGAGAGGGCACCCAUCAUUCUAGGGAGGCCAUUCCUGAACACCUCGGGAGCAGUCAUCCACGCUAGUGCUGCCAAGAUCAGUUUCUACAUCAAGGGGAUGAAGGAGACGUUUUCCUUCAAAAACAAAACUACACAAAUCUCAGAGCAAUCCUGACAUGAACCAAGGAAAGGACCAACAGGAGGAACAGGAACAAGCAAGUGUGGACCGAGUCAGCUAAGAUGGUCACUGCAGUUCAAGGAGGUCAAGAUCAUCGACUUAAGUCACCAUUCUUGACCAAAAAAGGACGACCUAGUCACCUAUCAGCUCCUAUUCAGAACCAUGCCCCUAAAACCGACAUACAUUCAGCUCCUGAUGGCAGAUCAGACAUUCUGAAAGAUUGAAGGUUAUUGAUAUGGGAGAAGACGAGUACGAUCCACCCAUCAUCCUUGGAAGGUCGUUCCUCAGCACCGUUAAAGCAAUCAUCUACAUUGAAACCGGAGAAGUCCACAUGAGAGAGGAGGUACGCUGCUAUUUUAAUGACCCUAACUAUAUAGUUGAAGACUCUAAGCAGGUCAGGACAAGAAGAAGACAAUGCAACCGCAACCAGAGGAGGCAAAUCAUCAAGGACGGAUGGGCAAACUACGAAGGAGAAGUAGUAAGGUCUGAAGACAUACAACUUGAACAGAACUAUCCUGAGGAGACCGUAGCACCGAAUCAGGUGUGCAGAGAGAAGAUAGUUAUACAUGAAGAGGAGAAGCCGCCGGAACCACCGACUACGCCAUCCAGUGAAUCAUAGGACGACUGAGAAAACGGAGAGUCCCGUUCGGAGGACUUAAAAAUACCGAACGCCUUGCCAAGAGGUAAACUUGGUAGUUAUCUUUUCCUUUCAAUUAUUUUAAAAUAGUUUGCUUAGUUAAUCAGGUUUAUAUCAUCUUGAAAAGAAAAUAAAAAUGUUAAAAAUAGUAAGCCCCAUGUGAGUAUGCUCAUGGCAUAAAACCCAUAAGUACAUUCACUGUGGUGGCAUAAAAAUAAAAUAAAUAUAUUCCUGUCCUAUAAAAAUAAAAAUAUAAAAAUAAAUUUAUGAUCCUACUAAAGAGAGUAACAUUUAUUGAGGAGACUCAACAUGAUAAAGGCUAAAUAUUUAUGCUAACACUUAACUAGUUUCACAAAGCUUUGUUGUCUAUUUCAGCUCCACAGAAUUCAAGGAUCAAAGAAGUCUAGCAGACGGAGGACAUCCUAAUCGCUGUCAGAGUGCUGCCGACAUUCAAAUACACCUCCGCCACCUGCUAGCUACAUCAGAAGAAAUUAUGUCAAAAUCCAGCUUGGGGGAGAGCACCCCCAUUUAUCCAGCUAAGUGUUCUACUCACGUUUAUACUUUACUCGAAUAAUAAAAAGAUGCAUAAUCAUAAAAACCCAAAUAAAGAUUUUGUGCUUAUAUAUAUCUUUGCUUAGUUUGCUAAAUAAAUAAAUAAGUAAAGUUUGCUAUGAACCCUCAUGAUAAGCUCUCACAUGGAAAUGAUGAAUAGUUGCUCUGCCAUGUACCUAGUUUUCAAGUUUAAGCUUUCUCUCAAGUUUAGGCAUAACUGUUAUUAAUUAAGAUUUGCUCUAAACCUGAACUUGUGGGAAGAGUACUUGAUCUAAAGUCUAAGUCGUUAACGGAUAUGAUAUGGGAAGGUUGAGCUGCUGUUUAUGUGUUCCUAGAGAUGCUAGAAUUCUAGAGAAUUUUAUCUUUGAAAAUCUUUAAAAUAACACAUGAUGAGUUCCUGUAUGAUGAGAGUUUAAAUUCCUACUACAGCCAUAUAUAUACAUGCUUGCUAGACUUUGAGCCACUCAUUUACUUUUUACUGCUUAUGAGCAUUGAGUGUGGUCAAGCUGUGUAGACCCUUAGGAGCUUGUCAUGUGGUUAAAUCAAGAUUCACUUGCACGUUCACUCACACAUGCUACUUCUACUCCGGAAGUACCAUCCACAUAUAUCCAUUUCCAUCUCCAGAACCACCCAAAAAUAUUCUACUCCUAAUCCGGGAGAGAAUAGCCUAAAACAUUUCUGUUUUCCCCUGUGAAAUAAAUGCUCAAGUUAUCUUGAUACUACCACUUGCUAUAUUAUUUCAUGAGAUGAGUGCUCUCUAAAAAAAAGAAGAAAAAAAAGAAAUAAAAAGAGAUACGAGGAAAUAAAAAGGGGCAAGUGCUCGGAACCUCGAAAGAAAAAAAAGUGAGACGAGAGGUAAAAAUGGACAAGUGUCCGACAGUAGAAUUAGGGGUACAAGAUACCCACGUGAAAGAAAAAGAAAAUAUAGAGCAUCUCAUUCUCCUCAAAAAGUUUCAAAAGAGCAAGAAAGGUAUGUAUCCCCUCAAAAGAGCAUAAGUAGAAUUAGACUUUCACCAUUGUUAUCACCAUCAUCACCAUACACCAUUCAUUCACCACACAUGCACAUCUUGAUUUGACUUAUUGACUUGUUCUUUUGGAUCCAUGGUUUGACUAUGCAAUAAAUGUUUUGUAAGUAUGUAUUAGCUGUCUCCCACCUAUGAGCUCCAGAUAUCAAAACCUUAUUAGAGUAGGGUGAGAGAGAAGGCAAUACCACUAUGCCUCAUACCAAAAAUACCACAUACUUUGAGAGAAGGCAUACACCAUUAAUGCCUUGGUAAGGAUCCAGAAAUACCACAAAAGAGAGACUAGAGAGAGUCAUACAAGGAAUCUCUGAGUUUUAUUUGAAAAUCUACAAAAACUCCAGAGCUAUAGCUGAUCAAGAAUAAGAGACAUGGUGCUUGACUAGACUGUUCUAUCUUUUAACUACUCAAGACAGAAGUGACGGUUACAAGUCCCAUGGUGAAAGGUAAAUGAGUAAGUUUUAAGUCUUAACAGUUUACUCUAACCCAAAGAUGAUAUCUUGUUUGAACGCCUUUGUAUCUUUAAGGAAAGAAACCACUGUAGAAACUCUUGAGUUCAUCUUUACUCAGGGACGAGCAAAGGUUAAGCUUGGGGGAGCUUGUUGACGGUCCUUAAUGCACACAUUUAACCAUCAACUAAUCAUGGAAAAGGAUCCAAAUGUAACCAACACCCAGACUUAGGGUUUUAUCUGGCAGAAUUCCACGAGUUUUGGUGUUUGUCUAUUUCUGCAGGGGGUUAUCAGGAAAUACAGAAGAAAGGCCCACAUGUCGGGAUUACAUAGAGAUAUUAAAGUGCCGCACAAUUUUCUAUCAUCUAGAAGACUCCAGAAGCCACGGGAACGAACAGGAGGCCGAGCGGGCCCGGAGGUAGGGCGCCCGCCCUACCCCCCUGGGCGCCCGCCCUCCUCUGCUGGCCAAUCAGCACGAGUCUCGGGGAUUAUGCCCCACUGACUCUAAGGAUCGAGGAAAAUCACACGAUGAUGGUCGGUUUGAUCGGAUGGUGGAGAAUAACGUGGAAAUUUCUUGGGAGCUACUCUUCCUAGAUUUAUUGGGAGCUACUCUUCCUAGAUUUCUUGGGGGCUACUCUUCCUGGACUAUAUAAGCAGACCCCCACCAGCCCCUGGAGGCAUACCUCUUCUACAGAAUCAAAGCUAGGGUUUCAAUUCUUCAUCCAAGUAGAGAGGAUCCCUCUAGUUCUUCUAGUUCUACUUCUAGUUCAUCUAGAUCUAGUUCUAGUUCAUCUAGUUCUAGUUCUAGUUCCUCUAGUUCUAGUUCUAGUUAGUUUUAGUUGUAAUCUAGAAAAUAGGUAGAGAGAAGAGGAGAGCGGAGGAGGAGCCGGAUCUGUCGGAUCUUCCUCAACAUUGUACUUUUGCAGCAACUGGUUCGUCCUUCAUCGUUCUCCAGGUUCUUCAACUCAUAAUUCCUGAGUUCUUUAAUUACUUUUAUUUACAUUCAAGUUAUUUAUUGGAUUCCCGCUUGCAUCAAGUGCUCUAGUCUUUAUAACGCUAGAGUAGUAAUUAAUAGAUUAGACGUGGUGUUUAGUCUUGCGAUUACCUGGAAUUGCACCCAAUCCUGCGGAUUGUUGUGGUAGCCUUAGGGUAGUGACAGCCCUAACGGUCGAUGUAUUCCACCUCGUUCAGAUCGGUGUUUGUAGGACCGUAGUCAGACCUUGCUAGCCCCCUUCUCAUCUCUUUCUGAGGUUAGUGCUCUGAUGUCCCGAUAUAGAUAAUCUUGAAGUAAUUCUUGAUUCUUAGAUCAACUAGAGAACUCUCAGGAAACUUCCUCUCUUCCCAUCAAAAAUAAUUAUAUAGUUAUCCUUGGGCGAUCUUGGAUCUUAAUUAGUACACUUACGUUCCCUGUGGAAAAUCCAUACUCUGGAAUACUCCCGGGUGAAGGCUACAUCGGUAUCCGUGCGCUUGCGGAUUUUUCUGUUUGCGUUUAAAAUACCCAACAAGGUUUAAAUAAAUUUGAUCUUUGGAUUUUUGAAUCAUUCACCUCAAUAAAUAUGCACCAGCAUGAAUGCAACAAAAAUUAUUUCUCUAAACUUAUAUUCAAUUUUAUUUCCCCAAAUUUAUUUAUUUUUUUCCUAUAUUGAAAUGCUCAAAAAUAAUUCAUUUAAAUUCAAUUCAUCUAUUUUAAAUAAAUAAAAUUUUUGGGUGUUACACGUCUUCUGCUUUGACUGUCAGUCCUUCGCUCUUGGUCUUCAGCUCUCAUGAACCACGCUUCCUCUUCUCGUAGCAAUCAAGCAACACAAACGGACAAGCAAACAUGACAUAGAACAAACAUAAAUCAAAAGAAAAGCCUUGAAACAAAGCGUGCUAAACAACAUGGAUUGUUGCUACAAUAGUGACAACGCAAGAACGAUUGAGAAUGGAACUAUGGUUAAAUGGAUAGGACUAUCGAGGUUUGCAACAUAACGGAGAAGACGAACUAUAUGCUUGAUGUAUUUUAUUUGAUUAAAUAAGAUUAUAGACAUUUUGGAGAACUAUCAUAAUGUUGGAUUAACCAAAUUAUGUUGAAUUAUAAAUGCCAAAGUUAAACUUUAGUUGAUUUUAAUUAUAAAUGAUUAUAUAUCAUUCAAGCCAUUUAAGAAUUUAUAAUUUAGGAAGCAUAAAGCAACUUAUAUGGAUGGAGGUUGAUCUAACAAGGUCAUUAUUGAAAAGUCAUUAAUGUUGACACUAAUCAUAUCUCUACUAUAAUUCACCCAACAGAAUUAUGCUUGGUCUACCCAAAAAAAUCAUUCCCGCAGAGGGCUUCAACCAUUGUGUACGCAGGAAAACGCAUAGGAUUUUGUCUCCAUUAAAAUCAAUGGCUAAUAAAACAUCCAUAUCAGAUCCUAUGGCUAACACAGUAAGUUUGAUGCCAGGCUUCAAAAGCAACCGCAUCCCACACACACACCCUGCGCCCACAUACGCGAAACAUCCCCAUAUACAAAUUGGAUUCCCGGCCCCACUCCCCUCAUGCGGCCAUGCAGGAGGCGAUGUUAUCAUCUUUAGCCAUGCUAGAGCACUGCGGAAUUAGGGCUAGGGCAAGCGGCGGUGGUAUGGAGCAACGGUGGUGGCUCCACACCUACGGCUGUCUACAUCAACGCAAUCACUUGGGGCGAAUCCAACGGCGGUGACUCUCGACUUCGUGGAUCUCGAGGUGCAUGGGGUAAUGGCAUUCGGUCACGGUUCUCGGCUCACAUGGUGUUAUGGCGGUGCUCGGCCGUGGGGCAUAGGGUGCAUGGGGCAGUGGCUGUGGCGACGGCGUGCGGGGCGUAUGGCCAAAGGCACCACUACCCAGUCCGUCGUGGCCACAAGUCCAGACUCAUCCACAAUGAGGGCCCCUCUGAGAUCCAUGGCCAUGCCAGCGUGCUACUCGUGGCCGUGUGACACCACAUGAAAAAUUGGGUACUCGAGUGGAGCACGGUGCUGCUUCAUCUGGACAACAAACAAGGGAAGAGGAGGAUACCGCUACAACAGUUGCUGAGGAGAUCUGGGACACGCAACAGACAAGAGAUGUCGCGAUGGUGCUUGAGGAAGCAAAUGAUUUUUUGAUUUCUUCUAGAUUAUUACCUUGUUUUCUUGUCUCUUCUAUUGCUCACUGCUUUCAACAAACAUGCAGGACGAUGAGCCCGUCUCGGGAGCUAACUAUUCUGGCUAGGGAGCAGGUGAAUGUGGCUCACAGCGGCUGAGGUCACUACUACAGUCAGGAACUGCAGCGGCGGCUAAAUAAGCUCUGUAAGGGCGGCUGGCCCAGCCGCCCUUAUGCAAACGCUCUUACAGUGGAAUUCACUGUAAGGGCGGUUCAACACCAGCCGCCCUUACAGAGGCCCACUGUAAGGGCGGUUGGAAACAACAGCCGCCCUUACAGUGGCCUACUGUAAGAGCGGUUGGUGCUUCCAGCCGUCCUUAUAGUGAGCCUUAGUAAGGGCGGCUUGUGUCUCAGCCGCCUCUAUUGUCUGCAUUUGCAAGGGCGGCUCUAUCUAGAACCGCCCCUACAGUUAUUUUUCAGAAAAAAAAAUAAAAAUUACAAUAAUCGAGUUGACAGCACAGCACAGCACCACAUACAUAUAUACAUAUAUAAUCAGAGACAGAAAACAUCACAGAUUCACAACAUAAAUAUCCAUACAUAUACACAGCACCACAUUUCAAGUCCAAAAUGUUUCCAUGUCCAAAUCCAUCCAAAAGAGUCCGAAAUUUUUCAGGUACUAAUACAAAUCGAUCACAGUCCAUUCCAACAAGUUCACAUGUAAUCAACGACCUAGACAUAGCCUAUCCCACUGACGGAGGUACUGGUAAAGAGGAUUGCUACCUAAGUCGGACUGUGGGUUAUGGUAAUCACCUUUGUAAUAAACAACAUGGUCCAUUAUAAAGUUGCAAAGGUCACCGACAAUCUCUAAGAGGUCAUCAUCCCUGUAGACAUCCCUUUUUAGUCCUUUUUCUUCUUUCCACUACAAGAUCGUAAAAGACAAGUUUAGGUCUAGUGUAAAGAAGAGAUUGCAAAGCUAAGUGAGAAAUACUAUGUUUUCAUACUACAACCCACUAAGAGAUUCAAACUUACCAAUUCAGGGUGUCUCUUGUAGCCUUUUGUGUUACUGAUGAAAGCACAUACAUAGUAUCCACAAUGCAGACUCCCUGGCCUUUGCUUGGGAAACUUUGUUUCAAUUUGCAAAUGGAGAUGUGUCAAGUAUAAGUACUGAAAAAAUUAGUAAUUUUAUGCCAAACUAAGUCGCACUUACCGAACAUAGAGAUUUGAAACGCAAGUGGCUCCCCAGACCUGGAUCAUGCCUUCCUUUGUGAUUCUUGACAUAGGCCCUGAAUGCCCUGUUUGAAUGAGAAUCGAUGUGACUUGUAGUAUGCAGAAGUCGAUAUUAAAGUGAAUCAUAUAAGGUUACUAGGAUUACAAAUUUGCUUACGUAAUGAGAAUUGACAUGAAGUCUUUAUAUGUGUGAGGGUCAAAAUCUGCAGAAUCACAAAUCCAUGCCAUGUUCAUCCCGACAUCGAGACCUAUGACUAUCCAGUGAUUGCUACAACAAUUUUAAAUAAAUACAUAAGUACCUUUGCAUCAAAAUAAGAUAAACCGAACAAUCGUUAAGUAUACAAUUAAUCGAACUUACUUGAAGUGGUAUGGAAUCCAUAUUGUUUCGAAGUGUUGGAGAUUCUUUAAACAUACGGCAAGCCAUGCCGCAACCUUAAGAGACUCUUCUCUUAUUUUGGCCGCACGGAUCUUUUCUUUCUCCGCCAACGUCCCUCCAGCAGCUAGCUGUGGCGCAUCCAAUUCUCAUCUCGAUGUCUACAAGACUUCAAACAUAGUUACAACCAUCCAGCUGCUUCAACUACUGCAGCAAUGUCUACAAGACUUCAAACACAGAGCUACCAGAAUUUCAAACAUAGUUACAACCCUCGCAGACACCAGUACAGACAACAAGUAUAUAUACCUUUGUGACUUUGCUAGGCACCUAAAAUCUACUGCAGAUCAUGCAUAUAGAAACUAUGCCAUUAUAGGCGAUCACAUACUAUUGGUGCAGAGGCAACCUGAGCAGCCUAUGAAACUAGAUGGUUUCAAAAAAUCAAAAUCCCACCAUUGUACGAGGUAUGCCACUAUAGUAAAAAGAACAAGCUCCCACUGCUGCCACACGAACUCUGAAAAUAAUUUGCACCACUUACUCAGAACUAACGUGCACACAAACCACGCAGGUACCAGUUCCGCCAUCAUAUAUUACCAGGCUUAAGGUUAUCUACGCUGCAGCAACCAAGAUGGUACAUAAAACAGAGACUACCAUUACUACUGCAGAGACAUCUACAGGUCAAUUCGAAGCCUUUGUGACCAUGCAAAACAAGACACAUAAAUACAAUGAUGUCCCCUACAAAAAUGAAGCCUCAGUGAAAGCAGCAGCUAUCUAUUACUCACUAAAACAGAUGACAAACAUUCUUGGAUACCAAAUUAUUGAUCUCAACUAUCCAAUCCUAUCACAGCUAGUCACUGCAACAAAUGAUCUAACCAUACACAUUGGUCUACUACAGUGAUGUGUAUCCUAUAUCACCGCAGACAUAGGAUUGGAUAGCAAAGUGAGCAAACUCACAUACCUUUGGAGGAGAAGGAGAGAGUCGCGGACGGGCGGCGCCUAGGGUUCCUAGCAGGCGGAGUGCCCAGGCUCACCGACGGGCGGGCGGCCGCGCGUGGAUCUUCGGCCCUCGGCGACGUCUAGGGUUCUGACAGGGCGGAGCGCCCGGGCUCGCACAUGGACGAAAGCAGGUCGCCGAGCUCGCGGAAGAAGAGCUUGUGGACGCGCCGAAGAAGAGCUCGUGGACGACCGAGGUCCUCGGCCAGACUCGCCGAGCUCGUGGAGGCGCGCGUGGGCGGGCGGCCGUGUGCAGAUCUGGCUCCCGGCGGCAGCAGAGUGGUGGCGUGGCACGGGCACCAGCGAAGGGGGAGGGGGAGGAGAGCGCGGGGAGGAGAGUGGUGGCGUUGCACGGCACCGGCGAAGGGGGAGGGGGAGGAGAGUGGUGGCGUGGAAUCGGGCGGCGGCGGCUAGGGUUCCGAUCGGGGGGGAAUCGGGCAGCCUGACGGCGUCCAACUGCGAAUGAGAACGCCCUGGCUUAGGCGCUGCGAACGGAAGGGGGUUUUAUGGAGGGCAGCCCCACUGUAAGGGCGGUUCAGAUGUGAACCGCCCUUAUUGUGGUUUUCUUGAAAUUUAAAAUCAUUUUUUUUAAUUUAGUUAAAGUUCAAAAUGUAUUUAUAUAAUAAUUUUAAUUUAUUCCAUGUAUUUUUAUAUUUAAUUUAUAUAUAUUAUAUAAUUUCAAACUAUUCCAAGUUUUUGUAUCUUUAAUUUAUAUACAUUAUAUAAUUUCAAACUAAAUUGGUUUGGAAUUAAAAAAUAAAUUUGUGUAAACUUAAAAAUUCUUUAGUGCCUCACUUGACCUAAUAUGUAAUAAUUUUGAAUUAUUUCAUACAUUUUUAUGAUUAGUUUAUAUAUAUAUAUAUAUGCAAAGUUUAUUCAUUUUUGUCUACUUUGACCAAGUCAAACAUUGGAUUUUUGACAAAAUACACUUUGACCGGACCCGAGAUGGUCUCAGAUGCAAAAGUCAUGAAUACAAAGUUUGUUCCCCUUCUCAAGAUACACAUUUGGUGUAAUGGUCAACUUUUCAUAUGAGAUGGUUUGGACCACUCAAAUUUUGAAAUUUCAAAUUUUUACUGCUACACGCACGUUUUCGGGACCCUAAAUGGCCCCAACUCCGAAAGUCAUGAAUAGCAACUUUGUUCCACUCAUCAAGAUUUACAUUUGAUAUAUAGGACAUUUUUGCAUUUGACAAAGCGUUAAGAAAGUGCAGUUCUAAAUCUACAAGUCCCGCAUGUAGUUUCAUAAAGUCUAUGUGUGAUUCAAGACUUUGUGACUAGAGUUUACAAACACUUUCUCAAAUGCAAAAAUGUCCUAUGUAUGAAAUGUGUAUCUUGAUGAGCUCUAACUACCUUGUAUUCAAAAGUUUUUCAUUUGAGGUCAUUUACUCACUCGUUUGACCAGGUUUGACCAAGCCACGCUUUGGGUUUUCAAAACAUGUGAACUGAGUUUUCUGUAACUUUUCCAAAUGCAAAAAUGUAUUGUGUACCAAAGGUAGACCUUGAUGAGAUCUAACUAUGUUGUAUUUAAUUUUUUUUAAUUUGAGGUCUUUUAUUGCCUAGUUUGACCUAGUUUGACCAAGUCAAACAUUGGAUUUUUGACAAAAUACACUUUGACCGGACCCGAGAUGGUCUCAGAUGCAAAAGUCAUGAAUACAAAGUUUGUUCCCCUUCUCAAGAUACACAUUUUGUGUAAUGGUCAACUUUUCAUAUGAGAUGGUUUGGACCACUCAAAUUUUAAAAUUUCAAAUUUUUACUGCUACACGCACGUUUUCGGGACCCUAAAUGGCCCCAACUCCGAAAGUCAUGAAUAGCAACUUUGUUCCACUCAUCAAGAUGUACAUUUGAUAUAUAGGACAUUUUUGCAUUUGACAAAGCUUUAAGAAAGUGCAGUUCUAAAUCCACAAGUCCCGCAUGUAGUUUCAUAAAGUCUAUGUGUGAUUCAAGACUUUGUGACUAGAGUUUACAAACACUUUCUCAAAUGCAAAAAUGUCCUAUGUAUGAAAUGUGUAUCUUGAUGAGCUCUAACUACCUUGUAUUCAAAAGUUUUUCAUUUGAGGUCAUUUACUCACUCGUUUGACCAGGUUUGUCCAAGCCACGCCUUGGGUUUUCAAAACAUGUGAACUGAGUUUUCUGUAACUUUUCCAAAUGCAAAAAUGUAUUGUGUACCAAAGGUAGACCUUGAUGAGAUCUAACUAUGUUGUAUUCAAUUUUUUUUCAUUUGAGGUCUUUUAUUGCCUAGUUUGACCUAGUUUGACCAAGGCAAACAUUGGAUUUUUGACAAAAUACACUUUGACCGGACCCGAGAUGGUCUCAGAUGCAAAAGUCAUGAAUACAAAGUUUGUUCCCCUUCUCAAGAUACACAUUUGGUGUAAUGGUCAACUUUUCAUAUGAGAUGGUUUGGACCACUCAAAUUUUGAAAUUUCAAAUUUUUACUGCUACACGCACGUUUUCGGGACCCUAAAUGGCCCCAACUCCGAAAGUCAUGAAUAGCAACUUUGUUCCACUCAUCAAGAUGUACAUUUGAUAUAUAGGACGUUUUUGCAUUUGACAAAGCGUUAAGAAAUGUAGUCUCACACACAUACAUAAAUGUAGUCUCACACACAUACAUAAAUGUAGUCUCACAUGGAUACAUAAAUAAAGUCUCACACACAUACAAAUGACUAUUUAUUAGUAUCCGCCGCCGUAACAGUUUUCCACUUCACACCUUUUCGUUCCCAUGGCAAUACAUCUUUGGGUAGGCUUUUUUCCACAACACCGAUCUUGUUAAUAAAGUCUGUGAAUAGCGGCAUCUGAUCGCACUUAUUGUAGGCUUCAACAUCAUCAACGCCAUCAACUCCAAUAAUGUGCUGUUUUCCAGGGAUAACCACAUGCUUAGGUUUCUUCUUUGGGGGGACAAUGCUGAGCGGGUCGGUCAUAUAGAAAACCUGUGUAACAUGUGAAGCAAGGACCCAUGGAUCAUCCUGGUAGCCUAUGCUGUGAAGGUCCACGACCCUCAAUCCGAUUUCAUUGAAUUCAUGUUGCUUGAUCCAGCGACAUUGAAAUAGGGCCACAUUUAGUGCCUCAGUUCCAUAGUCAAGUUCCCAUAUAUCUUCAAUUAUGCCAAAGUAGUCGAUCUUUUGUCCCCCUGCGCCGAUAGCCACUGCUCGAACACCACUGUUUUGGUUCACACAUUUACUAUCCUUUGCGUGGGUAUAGUAUGUGUACCCAUUGAUCUCAUAAGAACUCCAAGAUGUCACCUGUCUUGAUGGCCCUGCUGCCAACUUACUGAUGGUAAUAGAAUCUAUGGUUUCUCCAGGCUGUAUGUUUUGGUCCUUCAACCAUGAAGUUAGGCGUUGCUUGUGUUGUUUCAUGACCCAAUCACCUGUACGACCAUUUCUCUCUGAUUGGAUGAUCUCCAUGUGUUCAUCAAUAUAUGGUUCCAUCAGUUUUGUGCUCGCCAAGACAGCGUAGUGCGCCCGACUCACUUCAGCGUAUUCAUUGUCGAUGAAGAUUUUUCUACCAUUUGUGCCCUUCCCGGCCAGCCUACCCUUGUAGUGAGAAUCGGGAAUACCAAUCCCUCUCUGUACUUUUAGGUACUCUUGACAGCACUCGAUGACUUCUUCACUACUGUAGCCCUCUAUCAUAGAGCCCUCUGGGUAUGCACGAUUAUGCACAUAUCGACUUAGAACCGACAUAGCGACGAUUCCUGAUGUAAACAGUCUUCUUAGAUCCAUCUAGGUACACCCAUUUAGUAUCAUCCAGACAGACUAAGCAUCCUGUCUUGCCUUUGAUUUGUCCAGACAAGGCAAACAAUGCAGGGUGGUCGUUGAUAGUCACAAAUAUUAUUGCUCUUAAUGUGAAGGUCUCCUUUUGGAAAGCAUCAUACAUCAGCUCCCCUGUCCUCCAUAGUUUCUCGAAUUCUUCCAUCACAGGCUCGAGGAACACGUCCAUAUCAAAGCCUGGUUGCUGAGGGCCAGAAACAAGAACAGUGAGGAAAAGAUACUUUCUCUUCUGACACAACCACGUUGGGAUGUUGUACAUGGUCAAGAUCACUGGCCAAGUGCUAUGGUUGCUCGUCCUCUCGUUGAAGGGAUUCAUUCCAUCGGUGCUCAAGGCAAACCGUACAUUCCUUGGGUCCGAACUGAACAGUGGGUUGUUAUUAUCGAAGUCCUGCCACUGACUGCCAUCGGCCGGGUGUGCAAUCACAUCGUCAUCGACCUUGCGCUCAUCGUCCCACCAUGUCAUGAGCGCGGCUUCCUUAGGGUUCAGGAACAUACGCCUCAAGCGGUCGGUCACUGGCAGAUACCACAUUACCAAGGCAGGAAUUUUUCUCUUCUUUGCGUCGUUGCCUAAUGGGGUGUCCUCUGGAGGUCGAGAUUCUUGUACCACCUUUUUGGAACCCUUCUUACUCCUCUUGUUCCCGGUGGAGGCUUCUCCACCACUGUAAAGGUCAUUGUCCUUGUACCGACUUGCCCCACAACGAGGACAUUUAUCCAGACCUUCGAACGUUUCACCACGAAAAAGGAUACAAUGGUUGGGGCAUGCAUGGAUCUUUUCAACACCCAUUGUCAAUGGACUUAUGACCUUCUUAGCAUGGUAUGUGUUGGAGGGAACUAAGUUCGGCAGUGGCAGCACAGAUGACAGAAGAUGCAACAGAUCGUCAAAACUGCAGUCUGACCAGCCGUACUUAGCCUUCAGAAUGAGUAGCUCAAGCACAAAACGGAGCAGUGUCCAAUGUGUUGGACAGCCCUUCUCAACACCAUACACAGUCUCCUUUGACGCUGUUUUCACCCGCUCUAGAUUUUCUAGACCCUUCUUCUGUUGUAGUAUUUCUGGUCCAAUGGCCCGAAGCAUUUCCUCUAAGUUGUCAAAGUUUUCUGCAUCCCCCUCACAUGCUCCAACAUCAUUAUUGUCAACACCGCCAACAUCCCCAUCAUUAUUGUCGACACCACCGACAUCAUCACCACGUGCUUGUUCAUUUGCUGAAUCAUGUUGCAUUUGUGCUUCAAACAUGUCUGCGUAUUGGGACAACAAUUGGCCUUCUUCAGCAUCGUCUUCUUGGUCAUCAUCGUUGCCAUCAAGAAACAUUACUUCACCAUGAUGAAGCCAUACUGUGUAGUUCGGGACAAAUCCUCGCCUAAUCAGAUGUGAUCUGAUGAUUUCCACAUCAUAAGUUGCUAAGUGGUUCUUGCAAUCUUUACAGGGACAAAUAACUGAACAAUUAUUUCCUGUUGACAACGUCUUUGCAUGAUUCACUGCGAUUGUAAUAAAUUUGUCCACCUCAUCAGCAUAGGCUUGUGAGUACCUUGGCAAACCAUACAUCCAAGUAGCCCUAUUCUCCAUCUUUACAUAAAUAAAAAAAUUAAUUAGUUGAGAAUAAUUAUUAGCAACAAUUAAUAAGUAACAAUUAUUAUCUACCAUUAUUAGCAACAAUUAGUAGCUAUCAUUAUUAGCAAUAAUUGUGUUAGAAAUGAUUAUUAGACAUAAUUAAUAGUACCAAUUAUUAUCUACCAUUAUUAGCAACAAAUAAUAAGUACCAAUUAUUAUCUACCAUUAUUAGCAAUAAUUAAUAAGUAACAAUUAUUAUCUACCAUUAUUAGCAACAAUUAUUAGCUAUCAUUAUUGGUAAUAAUUGUGUUAGAAACGAUUAUUAGACAUAAUUAAUAUUACCAAAUAUUAUCUACCAUUAUUAGCAACAAUUAAUAAGUAACAAUUAUUAUCUACCAUUUUUAGCAACAAUUAUUAUCUAUCAUUAUUAGUAAUAAUUGUGUUAGAAACGAUUAUUAGACAUAAUUAAUUUUACCAAUUAUGAUCUACCAUUAUUAGAAACAAUUAAUAUUAACAACAACUAUUAGUUUACCAAUAACUAUUCAUGCCAACCACAUUCCAAAUUCAUGAAACAAAAACAAAAAAAGGAAACCCUAGAUCUAGAAUGCCUUUUCUCUCCAUACAUGAAACUACAAUUAAUCUCCAAUAAAAUAAAGCUAUAUCACCUAAUUGAUGGUGCAAGGUGGUGUCUCUACCUAUUCUACACUAAUAGCAUCAUAGAUAAGCUCUAAUUUAGUCAACACAAAGCUCAAGCUCCAUGGAAGAGAGAGAAAACCAAAAUGUAAAUUGCUCACUAACCAACCAAUAAAACAUGGAUUAGAGGGUGGGAAUAGCAUUUUCUUACCUUAAACAAGCUCCCCACCAAAGGAUUUAAGUUCAAAACCUCCCCCCUUCCUAGAGUGAUUUUAGGGAGGUGCCCAAGGCCUCCCAAACCUUUUUUUGCGAGUGGAAGUGAGUGGCUCGGGGAGAAAGAAGAGUGGGCUGGCUACUUAUGCUACAGACCUCUGUAGGGGCGNNNNNNNNNNNNNNNNNNNNNNNNNNNNNNNNNNNNNNNNNNNNNNNNNNNNNNNNNNNNNNNNNNNNNNNNNNNNNNNNNNNNNNNNNNNNNNNNNNNNCGUGGGUGUGAAAAAACUCUCCAAAUUCCCCGGCCCCCGUUUGAGGCACAUUCACCCACUCCGUGAAAAACGUACUCAGAGAGCGCCCCUUCCCACACCGUAGGGGCAGUUAACAUCUGAACCGCCACUACAGCAAGUGAACAGCCAAGCAUAAAGCCAGCCGCCCCUACAGAGAACACUGCAAGGGCGGCUGGCUUUGUGCUUGGCUGCCCACCCACUGUAAUGGCGGUUCAAAUGUUAACUGCCCCUACAGUGUGGGGAGGGGCGCUCUCUUAGUAAGUUUUUCACGUAGUGGGUGAAUGUGGGUUUAACGGUGGCGGUGGGAUUUGGAGAGGUUUUUCACACCCACGAUGCCCAUGGUGCAUGUGCAGUAUUUGCCCAAGGUAAUUCUCGGGCUUGCUCUUUCCUGAUCCGUAGACUGCUUUUGUGGUCUUACUUUUUCGAGCUAUAUGCUGCAAUUGAUGGGAAGGAGAUCCAAUAGAUAUAUUAUUCUAAGUAUAGUAUUUGUACUUGUUAAUCCCAAAUUUUGGCGAGCUAGGAAACUGCCCAGUGGGCCUGCUUGGCAGAAGGAGGAACAGUCCAAUGAGUGGAUUGACUAAAUGAAAGCACGGUGAAAUUUGUCGGUCAGAAGGGUGUCGGAACAAGGCAAGACAAAAGAGAACAUGUUGGGUUCAAUUAGAAAAGGGAGACUUAAAGUCUAGGUUACCUUUUUGAGGAAAGAGUCGUAUUAGAACAUGAGACUAGAACUCCAGACUAUAAAUAGUAGGAACCCGAUUUUUAUAAGAAUAUACACAAUCAUAAUACAAACCCUUUCAGCUCCGGACACCAACCUUAGAAGUAGGAGUAGAAGUAGAUCUGAACGAGACCUUCAACAAAUCGAGCUGCAUUAGUUGAAUUCGACCUUCGGUUUCCUUGUAAGUAUUUUCAUGGUUCGUGUUUAGUUUGUGACGGUUGCAUCAUUCGACCUCAUGUCGAACUUAAUGAUGAAUUAUGUUUGUAAGGCUGUAUUGUUUCAAUCUCUUAUCAAUUAUGGUUUAAGUUAGUUAUCGGCUCUAUUAAAUUGGCAAUUUAAUAGAUUCAUCAAGUUACCAAUAUUAUUUAAAGCUCAAUGUUUUAUUUUUUGUAACAAUAUUCUGUCCGAUCAAGGUUUAACGAGUUGGCUCGAGCUUCAAAUCUAAAUGCUUAUCAUGAAACUUCAAAGCAAAUGACAAUCAUUAAGCGAAUCAAAGAUAGCUAACUUGUUAAUCUUGAUCCUUACAUGUUGUACGUUUGAGAUAUUUAUUUUGUUAUAAUUAAUUUGGUUUUAAUAACUAAAUCUAAUUAUAAUAAUAUAGAUAGAUCUUGUUCCUGCUUCAUAGACCUUGUAUCGGCUAAAAUAGUCGAUCCAGUCAAACUUAAACGAAUAGUGUACGUGCAUGAGUCUGCUUAUGCAUCAAAUGAACUAGUAGUCUGUGUUGAACUUAUUGAAGCCCGCUGGCUGUUAGACCAGGUGAAUAUAGAUUUAAUACAAAUUAUGAAUAUAAUUUAUUGAAACCGCAGGACCAGUUUUAGUAAGUUAUUGUUUAUUUAAUGAAUAAAAGGAUAAUGCAUGUAAGUUAUCUUUUAUCUUUACACACAAGCGUAUCGGCUAAAUAGCUGAUCCAAUAAUUUUACACCCGUAAGAUGCAUUUGUUUAGUAAAUAGCGUAUCAGUUUAGAGAUCAAGCAUUUGACUUGACUGAGUUCAGAUCUCCCUAGGUAUUCAUCUAUUUAGGAAAUGAUGCUUCCUUUUUUCUCAAAGUAUUUGAGACAUGAUACUCUAUAAAUAUAACUUGUUGGUGACCUGGUGUAGCACAAAUAAACAUGUAUAUUUUGUUCAGUUUCAACUUUCAAUCAAUUGGACAACUAAAUCGCCUCUCAGAAGCAUAGUGAAUAUAUUGGUGACAUAGUGAAAUGCCAAAUAAAUAAAAUAAAAUAUAUUGGAAAAAAUAAGAACACGCUCUGCUUCAAGUAUGGUGAUCCUGUAACAUAUAUUGUAAUGAUAUCUUUAAUUUACACUAAUAAUAAUAAUAAUAAUAAUAAUAAUAAUAAUAAUAAUAAUAAUAAUAAUCAUAAUAAUAAUAAUAAUAAUACUACUACUACUACUACUAAUAAUAAAAAUAAUAAUAAUAAGACUACUAGUAGUAGUAGUACUACUACUAUAUAUAAAAGAUGUAAACCACGAGUGUCCGAUCAUGAACAAAAACUUUCGUUGCUGCCAUACCUACAUUGACCAUGAAUGUUACCAUGAUCUCGACCAUUUAUGAUCAGCGAGCUGACACGUCAAAGAUGACUAGUUUCUAGUAGGUCAAGAAAGUCGUAUCGUAUUCAUUAAAAAAUUUGUGACUUCUCUAACUCAAGAUCAACAAUAGACUUCUUAAAAACUUUGUGACUUGUCUGACUCAAGAUAUUGAUUAAAAAACAUUAUUUAAAAAUUGGACAAUUAUUAGUUAUUCUCAAAUUAAGGGGUACAUGCUUUAUUAUCAUUAAUAUUUUCAGUUUCAUUAUAUAUGUACGGUUAUUUUUGAAAAUAGUUUUAGAAAAUUUAAUAAUUAAAAUUUUCAUCAGUGUACUCCAAAUAAUGGGCGCGGCGCCAAACUUUCCACGCGCCCACGGCACCAAAUCUGCGCGGCAAAAAAAAUUUCCCCCGCACCUAGCUACUCUAAUAACCUUACCCUAAUCCCCGCCUAGCUAAUCUAAUUGUAACCCCCUCCCCUGCUGACCGCCCCCUCCCCCCCACGACGCCACCUAGGGCGUGAGCGCCGCCGUGCUGCUCCCGGUAAGCCAUGACGCCAUGUCAGCAAGGCCCUCAUCCAGGACGCCAACGACACCACCUCGGACCAGGACGCCACCGACACUGUCGCUAUCGAAGACGCCACCAGGGACGACUCCAGGUAGGGCGGUAAUUCCCCAGGGAAAUGACACCACCAUCUUGGCGCCCAUCGGUAUGAAGACAUAUCCAUCGAAAUCAAAGAUGAAAAUGGAUUCCCUUAUCCAUAUGUCCCCAGGUACUGCGCCCACCUCCCCCUCCCCCCUUGUGUUCGUCACGACCUUUUUUUUGUUGAAAAUUAAUAUGUGACUAGGUUUUAUUAUUCAAUUUGAUGAAUGGUAAUGGUGUUGAGAUUUAGGUGUUGUGAAUCUGCCCCCUGCGUGCAAGUUGUAUUGUAUCUAUGGUAAUUUUUAGUGUAAUAUUUGCCUACUGCAUAUAUGCUAGUGUAACGGGAAAAAUAAUACCAAGUUACUUGUCUACUACACCUAACAUAACCCGGCCUGCAUCUAUUCUGUUGCUCAAUAGUCUGUCCAUUAAAUUUGAAAAAUUGAAACCCUAGCCAAUGCUAUAACACUCUUCUGUGCAUUGCUUCUGUAGUUACCAACAAUGGUUCACUCACUUUUAUAACUAUAGCAGAUCUAUCGAUUCAAAAAUUAGUACCCAAAAAAUAAAAGUUGUUGUACCUGUAAUUUUUCAACAUGACAUGGACUGCAGCUCGUGCAAAAUAAUCAUUCUGUUGUUAUAAUAUUUUUCAUGUGCCUAAAAUUUCUUGCUGACAUAGAGGACAUUCACCAUUCUAUAUAUUUUACCCUGAAAUAUGCAAAUACGAGCCAGCACAUAUGUCCAAGUGAAAAGUUAGAAUAGAUUAUCUUUUAUCAAACUUACAAUCAAGGUUACUUGUCUGGUCUCUUCGUAUAUCAUAAUAUUCCCAUAGUGGUCAUUGUACUUGUUUAUUAAUCAUUUUCCGAUGAAUACAGUGCUCAAGGUGAAAUAUGGACUCUAUAUAUACAUUGCAAGAAUGGACUUCCAGGUCAUGAGUACAUAAGGUUCAAAGUAGAAAGGGCAGCUCUAAAUUUCACAAUCUUGUGAAGAGUUAAGGACCAAGCUAGGUACAAUGUCCGGGAUUAUUUAUAUUACAAGAAGCGUUCUAGGGGAGAUUUAGCUACUCUAAAGCCCAUAAAUUAUGUCAAACAGAUUGAUGUUAUGAUACAAGAUAAUAUCAUGGAGAAGGAAAACAUACUAGUACUCACAAAGCAGCUAGAGACAACAAAUCAAGUCAGCAUAACACCAAUGAAGCGACCAAGGCAGCAGAACAAAGAAGAUGAGGACGACCAUCCGUUUAUGGAUGAUGAUUGCAAUGAAUACAAGGACUGGCUACAAAACCUGCCAACAGCUAGAAGGCAUGGUAUAACCUCAAUGUUUCUGUGUUUUUAUUGGUAUUGUUUGUAAUCUUGGCAACUUUAUAUAAUCUACAUCUUCUCUAAAAUGUUUUGGUCGCUAACAACUUUCAAGGAUGGCUCUAGGAGGGAAACAGUUGACACGUACAAGGAAUUUUUAAGGAUCAAAGGAGACAUGGAACAAAUCAGUAAUGAUUUUUCCUUUAUAGAGCAAUGUAAUUUACUUGUAUUUUUUUUAGCUGAACCAUUCAACCUUUGUGCAGUGGCAAUUGUUGAUCAACCUAACACUACUGAUAGCAUCAUAGUUGAAGACGAUGAAAGUAAUGGAAGCAAUGUGACACCACUAGUAAAUAGGCCAAGCCAUGCAAGGAGGCCAAGGGUUCAUGGAAAUGGUAUGUCAUGAUUCAUACUUUUUAUAUUGGGUUCACUAUUAUUAACUGAGAACUAGAAGCAUUGAAGUUCAUUGUUCUAUGUUUAAAAGGAGUUGGCUCCAAUCAACCAAAGAAGAAAAGUCAUGGUACUGUUAAAGGAAAAACAGUAGUCAAUAAGAGAGUUAAGGAACGCAACCAAAAACAUUCAAUUGAAUAGCCAUGCAUUUGUCGUUGAGAUUAUAACAUUUACAAGGAAAUGAGCCCCACUCAUUGGAGUAAAUAGUUGGAAGAAUAUAAAGGAUGAAGUGAAAGAAAGAAUUGCAGAAGAGAUGUUGGUAUGCUGCGUACUAUUUUUCAUCAAAGACGAAAAUGGAUUCCUUUUUUUGUUGAAAAUGAAUAUGUGACUAGGUUUUAUUAUUCAAUUUGAUGAAUGGUAAUGGUGUUGAGAUUUAGGUCUUGUGAAUCUGCCCCCUGCGUGCAAGUUGUACUGUAUCGAUGCUAAUUUGUUAGUGUAAUAUUUGCCUACUGGAUAUAUACUAGUGUAACAGAAAAAAUAAUACCAAUUACUUGUCUACGACACCUAACAUAACCCGGCCUGCAUCUAUUCUGCUGCUCAAUAAUCUGUCCAUUAAAUUCGAAAAAUCAAAACCUUGCCAAUGCUAUAACACUCUUGUAUGCAUUGCUUCUGUAGUUACCAACAAUGGUUCACUCAUUUUUAUAACUAUAGCAGAUCUAUCGAUUCAAAAAUUAGUACCCAAAAAUAAAAGUUGUUGUACCUGUAAUUUUGCAACAUGACAUGGACUGCAGCUCGUGCAAAAUAAUCAUUAUGUUGUUCUAAUAUUUUUCAUGUGCCUAAAAUUUCUUGCUGACAUAGAGGACAUUCACCAUUCUAUAUAUUUUACCUAAAAUAUGCAAAUACGAGUCAGCCCAUAUGUCCAAGUGAAAAGUAAGAAUAGAUUAUCUUUUAUCAAACUUACAAUCAAGGUUACUUGUCUGGUCUAUUUGUAUAUCAUAAUAUUCUCAUAAUGGUCAUUGUACUUGUUUAAUAAUCAUUGUCCUAUGAAUACAGUGCUGAAGGUGAAAUAUGGACUCUAUGCAUUCAUUGUAAGAAUGGACUUCCAGGUCCUGAGUACAUAAGGUUCAGAGUAGAAAGGGCAGCUCUAAAUUUCAUAGUCUUGUUAAGGACCAAGCUGGGUACAAUGUCAGGGAUUAUUUAUAUUACAAGAAGCAUUCUAGGGGAGAUUUAGCUACUCUAGAGCCCAUAGAUUAUGUCAAACAGAUUGACGUUAUGAUACAAGAUAAUACAAUGGAGAAGGAAAUCAGACUAGUACUCACAAAGCAUCUAGAGACAACAAAUCAAGUCAGCAUAACACCAAUGCAGCGACCAAGGUAGUAGAACAAAGAAGAUGAGAACGACCAUCCGUUUAUGGAUGAUGAUUGCAAUGAAUACAAGGUCUGGCUACAAAACCUGCCAGCAGCUCGAAGGCAUGGUAUAACCUCUAUGUUUCUAUUUUUUUGUUGGUAUUGUUUGUAAUCUUGGCAACAUUAUAUAAACUACAUCUUCUCUAAAAUGUUUUGGUCGCUAACAGAUUUCAAGGAUGGCUCUAGGAGGGAAACAGUUGACACAUACAAGGAAUUUUUAAGGAUCAAAGGAGACAUGGUACAAAUCAGUAAUGAUUUUUCCUUUAUAGAGCAAUGUAAUUUACUUGUAUUUUUUUAACUUUACCAUUAAACCUUUGUGCAGUGGCAAUUGUUGAUCAACCUAACACUACUGAUAGCAUCAUAGUUGAAGACGUUGAAAGUAAUGGAAGCAAUGUGACACCACUAGUAAAUAGGCCAAGCCAUGCAAGGAGGCCAAGGGUUCAUGGAAAUGGUAUGUGAUGAUUCAUACUUUUUAUAUUGGGUGCAAUAUUAUUAACUGAGAACUAGAAACACUAAAGUUCGUUGUUCUAUUUUUAAAAGGAUGUAAUACCCGAUUUUAAGGACAAAACCAGAUAUGCACCAUAUGUGAGUCUUAGAAGGCAAAUCUCACAUAUAGCUACAAAUAAGGGGUAAUAUCAAAAGACAAUGCAUAAAUUAUAUAACGUACUUAGUAUAAAAGAGAUAACCUUUGAUAGCAAACAACGGAUAGACAACUCCAAACUUCAGGUAUUAACUCCUCUCUACAGGAUCCAACUGACUGGUUGAUCACAAGCCUAAAGCAUCUCCUGAAGUGUAGGGGAAAUAGCAAGAGUGAGCACAUAUCGUACUCAACAAGUAUAACCAGGGGUUCAUGAGGCUCAAAUAGUUGACACUGGUUUGACUGCAUUUAGCUUUUAUAUGUAGAUAGCAUAUUUAUGUUUAGAUAGCAAUUGUUAAGGUAGCAUAAUUAAAUCCCAUAACCACAUGAUCAAUGUAUACAAGAAUUAAGAAUAACACAUAUAAACAACAUAAUAAACCAUCAUUUAUCAUCAUUUAUCAUGUUCAUCAGUGUCCAUCUAUUCUGUCAGUUUUUCGGGCUACCAGAUUUAACACUCUGCAGAGGUUGUACAUCUUUACCCAUGAGUCGUGAUUUACCCUUUCGCCUGAGGUUGCAAGUCCCUUAACCCCCUUCCAAGGGAGGUCGGCAGGGAUCACUAUGAAGCCUUUCAAAAGUUCAUCUAACAAGUUAGGGCCACAAUGAUUCCCGGGCGCGCAGAUAUAGAGCCCCCCUUCCAAAUGGCACAAUGAUUUGCAGCCUAUACACAUAAGGACAAAGGCCACACCGUACCCAAAAUGGCAAGCCCCUCUAGCGCCCUUUCGGGUAACCUCUAACAAGCUAGAUAAGGUCUUCAUACCGAGCUAAAGCUAGAGCCAUAUAGCCCUCAUGGUUUGUACGAGUUGUCCCACCUUUUGCCAAGGGAUAAGUCCUUAUGGAGGGUCAAGAUCAAUCUAGCAAAAGCUAGAGUCCUUUCCACCCUUUAUGUUCAAGUUGCUAGAAAGCUUAUUUUAUUGUUUAUCGUAUAUCCAAAUAUUCAUGUUACAAGAUCAUGGAUUGUAAUCAAACACAAGCAAGUACUACCCAAAUGCAUAUCCAAAUAGGUAACAAGGAAUUCAGGAUAACAAUCAUAUAUGAUUUUGCUAAGGUCAUCAAGGUGGACACAUGCAUAUGAUAAAUAUUGUAUUAAUUGUGUAUAGGUAACAAGGAUGGUCCCAAGUUAUACUUGCCUUGAUCAAAGCUUUAUUGGAACUCCUGCUGGUCAUCAAAAGAUUGCCCUUGAUCACCAACGUAUUGCUCACCGUCUAUACUCGAUCAUCAAUCAACAACACGCAUUCCAACGGACAAUCGUACACAAAGCAAACAAGCUACAAUUAGAACAACACACCAACAGUGAUAAAACAAAUGUAAAAGUUUAUAAAAAUUUUCUACUCAGCGCUACGAUCACACAGACGUAAAGAUCACAAAAAUCGGAGUUAAAACGGAGAAGUUAUGGAUUUUCUAAGAUUUUCUAUAGAAUAAUAAUUAAUUAAGUAGGGUCACGAAAUUAAAAAGUUUGAAACUGAGUAAAGAGUAUCACUAACAUGUAUAUCUUGUGAUUACGAAUCCAACGCAAUUUGAAUGGGUCAGAACGGAAUUAAAAUGAGCAUUUUAUGAGCAAAACAGUUUCAGUGGCAAACUUGUAAUUUAUGAAAAUGUAUUUUGAAAUCAAGCGGCAGACUUUACGUCUUCAAAAACAGGAAGCGUAUUUCGCGAAAGUGUUUUGGACAGCUGGUUCGAUAUUCAAAUAGACGGGGGGCUCUUUAGCGAAACUGGCACCAAACCGGUAUCAUCUAUUUUGGACCGUAGAUCUUCCGAUGGACGGCGUGGUUCGAUCUGGCGCUGGGCGGUGGCCGGCCGGUGGCGCACCGAAGCUCGACGGCGGCGCCAUUGCUAAAAGGAUUUUUUUUUAUUUUUAGCCCAAAUUUGAAACAAAUACCAAAUUUGACCCAGUUUAGGAAAAAAAAUUUAAAACUCACCCGUUUGGCCCCGCCACCGUGCAAGGCGGGGCAAAUGCACUAUACCCAGCCAUGCAUGGCGGCGGAGUGCACUGCUGAUGUGGCUACUGACUCGCUGCAUGCGCUGACGUGUACCCCGCCAUGACUGAUGGCGGGUUAGGGUACCCCGCCGUGGAUCAUGGCGGGGCACGCCUAGGCCCACCAAAACCAAGACCGCGCCCGCUCUCUCUCUCUGUCCUAUCCCCGCACCUGGCCGCGCCGCGCCGCGCCAGGCCGUGCCUCGCCCCGGCCGCACCGUGCCACGCACGACCCCGCCGAGCCUGCCCGCUGUUGGUGCAAAAGUGGAUCUGCAAACACAAAGGGCUAAUACCCAAUUCAAAUGUUAAGGCGUGCCAGCCGAUUUGACAUUACAAUCGACAAAGGUGGUAACUCGAACACUUUGGUCCCGACAACAGCGAUGCGCCCGGAUGUCACGGCCAAGAGGUGUUCACGCAGAACUAGAGAACUCGCUGAGGUUGACUCGAUGAAUUCCUAAGAACUCAUAGUAAAAAGAAAACAUGACGAAAUCGUUGAAAAGUAGAUGCUAGAAUAGAUGUAAAAACUUGUGUUUGAUUGAUUGUGUAUAUCCAUUACAUUGCUACGGGGUCUACAUUUAUACCCUGUUCACAAGAGUUACAACCAGACACGACUAGGAUUCAAAUUCCAAAUUAAACAGAAUCUGUAUACAAAAUAAACUCUAAUAACUAUGGAAAGCAUUAAACCAUCUUCCACAACCGAUCGGUACACCGCCAUGAGUAGAAUGACAACCCCUGCACCUUUCUCCAUAACCAUCGGCAAGCCACCUCUCAUAGCCAUCGGUAACCAUCAGCACCAGUCAUCGGCACGAACCCAUCACCACUCUUGGACCUAGCCAUAUCCUGUCGCUUUCCCAUCGGCACCAACCCUCAUCAGCAACUCUUCUGUAGACUAGUCACCAUUUUUCUGCUUGACGAUCUUAAACCUCAUUAACUCUAGGUACGCGUCCAAAGAUACGUCUCCAAAAACGGUGUCAACACAUGCCCCCCAAUUUUGGAAUAUAAAAUCAUUAAUGCUUCGAAAUUCUCCCCAGUAAUGAUGCCUUUCCGCAAUUAUCCCUUUCUGUCAGCAAUUAAUUACCAAAUCCAAACAACCUUAGCCCGGUUCUCCUGCAUGCUCCUCGAAUCUCUCAAUUUCUCGAACCGAAUUUCCCAAACGUACGUCCAUCGGCAGUAUUUCCGUUAGAGAAGGCUGCCGAUGAACCGACUAGGAGAUCUUGCACACUAAGAUAUGUCAAAAUUAUGACCGCUUACUGUCAAAUCACCUGUGCAAUCCCUUGAUUACCGUGCGAACAGUUACCAUAUCCACCUGAACACCCUCGGAUUUCACGGAUGCGGCGAAGAGAUAAGUCAGAUUUGCCCCUGCCCUCUUUGUCCUAUAAAUACUUCCUUCUCCGGUACUCUUCCCCAUCUUGUCAUUCUACAGCCUCAAACCCACCUUCCUGGCGGCGGCACUGUUCGAGAACUUCAAGAACUCCGACAAGGAUCUCCUCCAACAAUCUUCUAAGUCUUCGAUUCUUUCCUCCUCACGGGAAGAAAUGGCCAUCAACUUCGUCGUCCCUGAGGUCAACUCAACACCCCCUUUCUUCUUUUUACCAUAUUCUUGUUGUACCCCUUUUUCUCUGCAAAUCUACUUACUGAGUAUGUUUUUUUUCUACUCUGUUUCUUUUCUGUUCUUUCAACCUUCAAACUCUUUAGGAAUUGGCCAAUAAGAUUGUGAUUCCUACCGAUCAACCCCACUUCCAAGGCCUUGGCCCAUUGGGAAACCCAGAUCCUACCGAUUUGAUAAAUGAAGAGACAAAUAGGAUCCUCUUUAGAGCUGAGAACUUCUCUUUAGAUCCGUGGAAAGACACUUUUCGUUCCUGGCCCAGUUCUACCAAGGGGUGGAAAGAUUGGUUCUUGAGAAUCGGCAACUCGAAUGAAGUCCAAUGGGGUGAACAAAAGUUAGACCAGUGCAUUAGGCUAUCCAUCGCCGAUAUGGAGAGAAACAAAUCACUGUUGAUAGCAGCUUCAUAUUUUUGGUCAGACACUCUCAAUGCUUUUGUGUUUGGCCACGGCCCUGCUUCUCCUACCCUUGCCGAUGUACUUAUGCUUACUGGUCUAGAAAUAGCAACUGCCGGUGAUAGCCAUCUCUUUGACAGUAAACCUAGCUCUAAGGUAGAAACUCGCAGCAUCGGCGGUUGGUCAGGGUACAUUCAGAAGUACCGAAAAAUAGGAUUGGUUAGGCAAAGGGAACAUGUCAUCUUUCUGAAUAUGUGGCUAGAUAAAUUUGUGUUUUGCGGCCGAUCGGGAGGUCCGACUUCUGUUUACCUAUCGGCAGUAGAGAAACUAGCCAACGGUGGACGCUUCCCCCUUGGCCGAUACUUGUUAGGCUCCGUUUACCACCUCCUUCAUCAAGUAGCCGAGAAGCUUUUGUUAGUCCAACCCAUCGGCAACUUUGGAGGACCUUGGUCGUUCAUCAACAUGUGGCUUAGUGUUCAUAUGCACAAACGCCUUGGAUUUGACCUCUUUGCACAGCGCUUUCCCAGAGGUAUUGCCAAAGAUCAUGAAUUGGCUGAUGAAGAAUCGGCAACUCACCCACCCUUGAACUAUGGUGAGGCUGCCAUAGUUUUACCUGGUACGGGUGGCAAUGAAGACCAGGUCAGCCGAUUCUUCCAAACUCUAUAUGAGGGUCUUGCCAAAGAUCAGCGGGCAUGGAUGCCGUAUGAGGACCCAGAAACCAGAUUCCCACUCACUUUCCACCCUUUUGAUGAUGCCCUUAAUAAAGAUCAUGACCUGAUGAUGGCGAUCAUUACUCCAAGAACCAUACCAGUGAAUUUCUUUGGCAGUGGGAACACUUCCAACCACACUUAUGAAUUCUAUAACCCAUCGGCACUGGCUCGUCAACUGGCUUUUGGACAACUGCCGAUUGGACUCUGCUAUGCCGAUGUGGUGAAGCCAAGGGAGACUAUAACCAGCUGUCUUGAAUGGAUCAGAAUAGCUCAGCUCAAGCCAAAUGCCGAUACGUCGGACAUCGAUCUAUCGGCAUGGAUCCCAGCCCUUUUCAUUACUCAGUUGUACAAGCGGUGGUUGGAAGAAUGGAAAGAACACCUGUUCUGCACAUCGGCUCUAACAUACCGCGGCAUGAUCGACCCCAAGUAUAAAGUUCCUAAAAACAAUGCAAGUUCCCAACCGAUACUUCAAUUCUUUUGUUACUUUCACCCUUAUCGGUAACUCACUUUCUCCUUUUCAAACAGGUCGACAAGUCGCCCACCACAGUCAGUAGAAGUGGACAGCCGAUUGAACUCCUCCCGUCUGGCCCAAUUUCUCUAAUCGGCAAGAACGCACCAAGGUUGGCAGCUCUAAUGCAUCGGAAUGUGCGCUUUAAGAAGAUAACUACCAUGCGGUCAAAGAUGUCUCCAACAGUUGCUGCUGCUACACUAGCUCAAGCUUUCAAGGUAGAUCUUUUGAUUCCUUCAAUUUAUACCGAUUCCAUUCUAUACUUACACAAUCUUUUCAGGAUACAUCGGCUGCUAUGGGAACCUCAUCGGUAACUUUUAUCUUUCAACAAGAUUUUUAUCAACAUUCUCUCCUAUUUGGACUCAUGAAACCUUGCUUAUUGUAACAGCAAACUGGUAAAUCGGCAAAGACCAGAAGUACCAAGACAAGUGCCGAUGCCCCCUAGACCAGUCAAGUCAAAAGAAAAGGCCCCAAGAGCAUUAAAUCGCAACCGAAAUGCCAAAAGACAGCGCCACCUUCUUCUCCUCGUCCAGUGUCGCCGAUUCAUGUGCAAUCGUCCCCCUCUUCACCAAAAAUUCAGACACAGCAAGCACCAUCUCCUCCUCAACCAUCAUCUCAGCCACAAGAAACAUCAGCCGAUGUGCUUGAGCAGACCGCCGAUCCAACGGAUCCAAUCAUAUCAUCGGUAGUCUCUUCAGAACAGACAAGCACCGCACCCCCUCAAGGUGAAGUAUUGUCCAUGAAACUAUCACCGAUGGAUUUAUUUUUUUCAAAUUAUAAUUAUCCUUAUUAUUUCUCAGUUUUUAUUGUUCCAUCGGCAACUCCAGCCGAUCACCCUGUGAUACCAGCGGCAUCCACCAGCCAGAGGCGUGAGAUAGCUCUGAAGCAAGUAAGUUAUCUGAUUUCCAUCCUUUAUAUCAGUAAUAUAUAAUCAUCAAAUAACUUAUCUUAUUUUCUUUCAGGAACAAGAUUCCCCGGAUAGCUUAUUCUCCUUUGUCAUCGAGAUUUCUGAUGAUGAGGGCAAGGAAGCAAGCUCCUCCCAAGCAAUAGGGAUCUCAUCGGCAGAAAUCAGAGUCAAAUUGGAGGACCUGCUAGCCCUGUUACACCAAGACACUGCUCAAUUGGUUGACGAUUCCGAUCUAGCCAAGCAUUGUUCAAGGCUCUUCGUGGCCAAAUUCCAGCCGAUGCUGAGGAGAUUCUUUUCCAAGCUGCACACUUGGAAAGCCGUCAGCUCCAGUACCAAAGGCUACCCAGCGUCUUGCCGAUAGAGCCACCCAUGCCAAACUCUCAGAGGAGGUAAUGAAGUGAAACGCCUCGCCGAUGAGAAGCAUAAAAGCAUCGACAUCUUGCAGUCCUCAGGAGAUGAAUUAAAGCAAAAGAUCUCCACCCUAUCGGCAAAAAGGGAGGCUUUGCUGGCUGAGCUCAAACAAGUGGAGGAGGCUCUAUCUCAAGAUCAGCAAGAAGAAAGCCAGCUGCCUGAGAUGAUCAAGACUCUUCAGCAAGAACGAAACAUCCAGGCCUGCAAGGCGCUGUAGAUGAAGAAGAAGCUGAAGCCAGUGGAGGGCUCUACCGAUGAAGACAUCCGAGAUAUAGAAGAAGCCAGCCAAAUCCGCCUGCGCGCCAUAUCGGCUAUCCAAGCCUUGCUGAAUGUAUGAACUCUUCGUCGGCAACUUGCUUUGUCCCGUCUUUAAAACACUUUUGAUUAUUCUAGUCUAGCCGAUAGGAAUGUUAUCGGCACUUUUGAAAACAUUAUGCAAAAUCCCAGAUACAUUUCAUCCAGCCGAUAGGAGUGUUAUCGGCACUUAAAUUUUUAUGCAUCAACCCAAAUGCUUGGAUAAUACAUCUUUAAAUAUUUUCCAUUUAAUGCUCUGGAAAAUUCAACUCCUUCGAGAGUUUCCAAAAUAUAAGCAUUACCAGGAGCAGACCGAUUUGUCCGAUAAGGACCUUCCCAAUUAGGAGACCAUUUUCCAUACUUUGAACUUUUAGUCCCAAUCGGUAAAUUUGAUUUCCAUACCAAAUCUCCAUCGGCAAACUCCUUAGCUUUUACCUUUUUAUCAUACCACCUAGCAACUCUCUUUUUUAUUUUCUUCUAUACUUAUCAAAGCUCUCAGCCGAUGCUCUGCCAAAUCGUCCAAUUCAUCUUUCAUCAAAGUAGCAUAGUCAUCUGCAGCCAAUUGACCUUGAAAAGAGACCCACCUAGAUCCAGUUUUAAUUUCCCAUGGUAGCACCACAUUGUGUCCGUAUACUAACUGAUAAGGUGAAACUUUAGUCGAUCCGUGACAUGCCAUUCGAUAUGACCACAAAGCUUCAUUCAACAAUGUAUGCCACCUUCUAGGAUUUUCUUCAAUCUUUCGCUUGAUGAGCUUAAUAAUUCCUUUGUUAGAUGCUUCAGCUUGUCCAUUGGCUUGAGCAUAAUAAGGAGAAGAAUUCAACACUUUAAUCCCCAUACAGAUUGCAAAUUCAUCAAACUCUCCUGAUGUGAACAUAGUACCCUGAUCGGUAGUGAUUGUUUGAGGAAUUCCAAAUCGAUAAACAAUAUGCUUGUUGGGUAUUCUUAACAUCAUUACCAAAAGUAGACUUAGUUCUCUAAAUCUCGUAACGGUGCCAAAAAUGCCAAACCUAUCCCUCACACCACUUAAGCCAAGUUGUGAUCCCCAGCAUGAUAUAAGAGACGCGGUAUUGAAAUAUGCAAUUGCUCUUCUAAAUAAAUAAUGAAUGGGAUCUGCAAGCGCACAGAUUAAUACCAAUGUAGCAUUUUAACCGGGAAGUAUUCCAGGUAUCGUUAUUUAUAUUUUUACCACUGGGAAGGGAUUAGCAAUCAUCACUAUUGAUUACAGAAUAUAAUAUGAGAUUGAGCAUCUAUCAUUCCAUGUAUAAUUGAGAACAUUAUAUCUAACUCUUCAUACAGGGAUAAGUGUCACAUAAAAGAUAUAUGAAAUAAUAAUAGUGACAAGGAUAACUAGUCUGAUCUAGCCACAUAAUAAAUAUGAUAAGCACCUCAAUUAGAUACUCUAGAAAGUCAUUAGCAUGGUAUUAGAACGAACUACAAGAAUAUUCCCUAAGUUAUUCUUAACUAUAUAGUCUAGCAUUAUCAUAAUUAGUGCAAGCAUACUUAGCAAUCAUUGUGAGACAAGACUACGCUCAUGCAUAGUGAUAUUAGCAAGGAAUAUGAGAAACAUAGCAAUCACUCCCCUGUAAUAAUGUUGCUCUGCCAGCCCAAUACACGAGAGGGGGACUAUAUAAGAAUCAAUGAAGCUGUCACUAUCACGAACCACCCCACGAUCUGGCAUAUUGGGUACAAUCGCAGAUAAAUACGGUAUAAGCACCACGCCUACACAAUAUCUAUCAUUUACCCAUGGAUCCGAUGAAUAAACGCUAUAUGAUCCUAAGCAUGUAUAUAGAUCUAAUCUAACUAAGCCAAGUACAUAACUAUGAUAAACUAAGAACAAUAUAAUCUUGAAUAUAAGCAAGUAGAGCAAAGUCAUAAGCAAUAUAUUGAAGUAGAACAAAGUCAUAUUCAUAAUAUUGAAGAACAAAGAUAAUUAGAAAGUAAUUAGAAGCACAAUUAGAGAAUUACCAAGAAUCCUGCUGACAGAUCCGGAAACCAAUCGAAGAUUGACUCCUUCUAGUUCUAAUCCUAUGUAGCUAUGCUAAUCUAGAUCUCUAAUUGAUGUGGUGGCUCUAAUCUUGAUCAGAGGCUUCUUCUCCCUUGAUGGAACAAUGAAUUAGGGUUGAGAGGCUCCCUCCUCCAGGGGCCAGGGGGUCUGGUUUUAUAGUCCCUUCAAGUGAAUAUGGCCCAUUGGAUCAAACCGACAUAGAUUGUAUGGUUUAGAUUCAUCCUUUAGGUAGGUGGAGAUCUCCCGCAAAGCAGAGUCCUGAUAGGACUCAGGGGCAGGGCGGGCGCCCUGACCAACUGGGCGGCCGCCCAGGGUCAGGCCCCGUUUCGCCUCCGCUUCGGUCUCGUGGCUUCUAGAGUCUUCUAGAUGUAAGAUAAUUGCGCGGCACGUUAAUAUCUUUACGUAAUCCCGACGUGUGGGCCUUUCUUCCGUAUUUCCUGAUAACCCCCUGCAGAAAUAGACAAACACCAAAACUCGUGGAAUUCUGUCAGAUAAAACCCUAAGUCUAGAUCUUGAUUUCAUUUGGAUCCUUUUCUUUAUUUAUUUGAUAAUUAAAUUUGAUACUUAAGGACCGUCAACAAACUCCCCCAAGCUUACCUCUUGCUUGUCCCUGAGCAAGGAUAGACUCAGCUAUGGAUCAUAAGUUGUUGCAAUAUUAUUUAAAAAAUUGACGGUACACAUGCUUUUUAAAUAAGAUCUCAUCUCUGAGUUAGAAUAAACUGUCAAGACUUUAAACUUACUUACUUUACCUACACCAUGGGACUUGUAACCGUCACUUCCAUUUUGAGUAGUUAAAAGAUAGAACAGUCCAGCCAAGUGCCAUGUCUCUUAUUCUUGAUCAGCUAUAGCUCUGGGGUUUUUGCAGAUUUUCAAAUAAAACUCAGAGACUCCUUAUAUGAUUCUCUCAGAUCUCUCUUUUGUGGUAUUUCUGGAUCCUUACCAAGGCAGUGAUGGUAUAUGCCUUCUCUCAAGAUAUGUAAUAUUUGUGGUAUAAGGCAAAGUGACAUUGCCUUCUCUCUCAUCCUACUCUAAUAAGGCUUUAAUAUCUGGAGCUCAUAGGUGGGAGAUAAAAUAUACAUACUUACAAGACAUGUAUUGCAUAGUCAAACCAUGGAUCCAAAGAAACAAGUCAAUAAGUUUAAUCAAGAUGUGCAUGUGUGGCGAAUGCAUGGUGUAUGGUGAUGAUGGUGAUAACAAUGGUGAAAACAAUGGUGGUGGAAGUCUAAUUCUACUUUGCUCUUUUGAGGGGAUACAUACCUUUCUUGCUUUUUUUUGAAACUUUAUGAGGAGAAUGAGAUGCUCUUCUUUUUCUUUUCUCUCAGGUGGGUAUCUUGCACCCCUAAUUCUACUGUCAGACACUUGUCCAUUUUUACCUCUCGUCUCACUUUUUCUUUUCUUUCGAGGUUCCGAGCACUUGCUCCUUUUUAUUUCCUCGUAUAUUUUUUUCUUUUUCUUUUUUCUCUUUUUUUUCAGAGCAUUCAUCUCUUGAGAUAAUAUAGCAAGUGGUAGUAACAAGAUAACUUGAGCAUUUAUUUCACAAGGGAAAACGGAAAUAUUUUUGGUUAUUCUCUCCCGGGUUAGGAGUAGAAUAUUUUUAGGUGAUUCUGAAGAUGGAAAUGGAUGGAUAUAUGUGGAUGGUACUUCCGGAGUAGAAGUAGCAUAUAUGAGUGAACGUGCAAGUGAAAUCUUGAUUUAACCACAUGACAAGCUCCUAAGGGUCUACACAGCUUGACCACACUCAAUGCUCAUAAGCAGUAAAUAAUAAAUGUGUGGCUCAAAGUCUAGCAAGCAUGUAUAUAUGGCUGUGGUAGGAAUUUAAACUCUCAUCAUACAGGAACUCAUCAUGCAACAUUUUAAAGAUUUUCAAAGAUAAAAUUCUCUAGAAUUCUAGCAUCUCUAGGAACAGAUAAACAGCAGCUCAACCUUCCCAUAUCGUAUCCGUUAACAACUUAGACUUUAGAUCAAGUUUUCACCCCACAAGUUUAGAUAUAGAGCAAGCUUUAAAUUAUAACAGUUAUAUCUAAACUUGAGAGAGAACUUAAAAUGUGCAAAUUAGGCAGAGCAACUAUUUAUCAUAUCCAAGCUUAAGUUUUAUUAUUAAGAUACAGAUUAGCAUAGCCACUUUAUUUAUUUAUUAAACACAGUAAGCAAAAGACAUAUAUAUAUAUAAGCAUAAAAUCUUUAUUUGGUUUUUCAUAGUUUAUGUAUUUUAAUAUUCUAAAAUAAUAUAAGUAUAAAGAUAGAUAGAAAUACUUAUCGGUAUAAAUGGGGGUGCUCUCCCCCAAGCUGAAUUUUGACGUAAUUUCUCUUGAUGUAGCUAGCAGGUGGCAGAGGUGUAUUUGAAAGUCAGCAGCAUUCUGACAGCGAUUAGAAUGUCCUCCGUAUGCUAGUCUUCUUGAUUCUUAAAUUCUGUGGAGCUCAAAUAGACAACAAAGCUUGUGGAACUGAUUAAGUGUUAGCAUAAAUAUCUAGCCUUUAUCAUCUUGAGACUCCUUAAUAAUUAUUACUCCCUGUUUUUAUAUUUUUAUUUUAUAAAGCAGAAAAGAAAUUUUUAUUUUAUUUUUAUGCCACCACAGUGAAUGUAUUUAUGGGUUUUAUGCCACUCGUCUACUCACAUGGGGCUUACUGUUUUUCAUAUUUUUAUUUUCUUUUUAGAAUAGCACGAACAUGAUUAACUUAGUAAACUAUUUUAAAUAAUUGAAAUAAUUGAAAGGGAAAGGAUAACUACCAUGUUUACCUCUUGGCAAGGCGUUCGGUGUUUUUAAGUCCUCCGAACGGGACUCUCCAUUUUUUUUCAAUCGUCCUGAGGUUCGUUGGGUGGCGUAGUCGGUACUUCCGGCAGCGCCUCCUCUUCUUGUAUAGUUAUCUUCAUUUUCCACACCUGACUUGGUGCUUCAAUCUCCUCUGGAUAAUUCUGUUUAAACUCUACGUUUUCUGACCUUAUCACUUCUCCUUCAUAGUAUGCCCAUCCGUCCUUGAUGAUCUGCCUCCUCUGGUUGCGGUUGCGUCGGUUUCUCACCUGCUUAGAUUCUUCAACGAUAUAGUUAGGGUCAGUAAAAUAACGGCGUACCUUCUCUGAGGGGAAGUGCAUAUGGACUUCUCCGGUUCCAAUGUAGAUAAUUGCUUUAACGGUGCUGAGGAACGGUCUUGGGUGGAUCGUACUCAUCUUCUCCGAUGUCAAUAACUUGAAAGUCUGUGUAGACAAAGUGAUCGUCUAUUUUGACUGGGACAUCAGUUACUAUUCCUUUAACUUCUCGAAAUGUCUGAUCUGCCAUCUAGAGCUGGAUGUAUGUUGGUCUUAGUGGCAUGGUUCCGAACAAGAGCCGAUAGGUGACUGCAGCCAUUAUGUUGAGGCCCGAUCCGGUGUCACAAAAUGUCUUGUAGAAGUUGUAUCCAUUUAUGGAGCAGUAAAUGCUUGGCAUUCCUGGGUCGUCCUUCUUGGUCAAAAGUGGUGACUUAAAUUGGUGAUCUUGACCUCCAUGAGCUACAGUGACCAUCUUAGCUGACUCGGUCCACACUUGCUUGUUCCUGUUUCUCCUGUUGGUCCUCUUCCUUGAUUUACGUCUGGAUUGAUCUGGAAUUUGUGUAGUCUUGUUCUUGAAGAAAAAUGUCUCCUUCCUCCCUUUGACGUAGAAACUGAUCUUGGUAGCACUGGCGUAGAUGAUAGCUCCCGUGGUAUUCAAGAAUGGCCUCCCCAAGAUGAUAGGUGCUCUCUCAACAUUUCCGGUCUCUACCACUACGAAGUCUGCUGGGGCAUAUAAGGUACCAACUCGGACACAAAGGUUCUUCACUAUUCCUUUUGGAAAAGUUAUCGUCUGAUCUGCAAACUGCAAACACAUGGUUGUUUCUAAUAAAGGAUAUGUAAAGAAUUUUUCAUAGAGUACCCUGGGUAUAAUGUUGACACUGGAGCCAAAGUCACAGAGUGCUUCUGGAACGUCCACUAUGCCGAUGGAGAUCGGGAUGACGGGGCGUCCUGGAUCGCCUCUCUUGACCGGCAGAAGGUCAGUAGAGAAUUCAUUGACGGGGUUACUCCAAUUACCUGCAUCAAACAUGUCUACAAGAUUUGCAGAUUCUAAUCCUUCCGGUUGUGAUGGUAUACCGGGGUUAGUAGUAGGAACAGCAGCAGCUAUUUGAUUUAACUGAGAUUCAAUCAUUUUAUUAAAGCUAAUUUGAUUCUUGAUGGCAGUA
rnacentral:lncRNA from 1 species